rnacentral:lncRNA from 1 species
UCGGAUAAAGAACAGAACGAGGAAAAAGAAAAAGAAGACAUCAAAAGUUCAAAGCUGCAACGUAAUCAAUAGAAGCUGAAUAUGAACAUUUCUACACAAGUACAUGCAGAACAUCUCAGAUAGCAAGCCAACAAUAUUAAUCUUAGUCAGCUUCUAGAGCCAUGUCACUUUAUUGACGAUAUUAGUUAUUUUUAUUUAUUAUAAUUUUUUAUGUGACAUGGUUUUUCAAGGACGGUUUAGAAUUAUAUUGGCAUCGCCAGGUUUUGCUCCUCCAGAGAAGAAGAAGGCAAUGGGAACGUUGUGAAGGUCCAAUCAAGCACCUGAUGGCUUUCUGAAAAGUCGGGCCCUGUGGAUGCUGUGAAGCCAACAUAGACUGAGCUUGGAAUUGUUUCUGACAAGAGGAUAGGUCUUUCAAUAAGCUUCUGAAGUGGGUUCCCCGCAUAUGCCACAUAAACAUAGAGUAUUUUCGUCCAUCCAUCGUAAUAAAUGUGAACCUGGAUCGGUCUUCCACUUUUGAGAUCAAUACCAGAGCUGUCGAGACUCUUGGCUGGAUUCGAUGUUAAGUUUGCUAUGUCAAUGCCCAUAUGGUUAGCAUCUGGAUCAGACCAGUAGUCGUUCUUGUAAGUGUCCAGCUCCACGGCUAAUUGCGAAACACCGUUACCUACACACAAUUUGUAAACAUAAUUAGUGUGUGUGUGUGUAAAAGAAAUGAUAUAUCAAGUGGCGAUCUGAUCUAGGAUUUUGAUUUGAUUAAAGUCGGAGAUAACAAGAGAAUUUAUAAUUAAAAGUAUGUUAAUGCCGCUGUUGGCAACUUGUCCUAGAAUUUAAUCCUGAAUUAUGAGUCUCAAUUGGAAAAUUUUGCUUGAUGUAUUCAUCAUUUUGUUUAUUAUUUGACUGCUAUUAUAUAUAACAUGCGCCCAUGCAUGCAUGUGUCAGUACUCAGUCCAAGAUUUCCGCCGGCGGAGUUUUCAGUUGGAGGGCUGGUAUCGGUUGCAAAAACAAACGUCAUGCCAUCUGCAGAAUCCGUUGUAUUUGGGUAGGGUGAGAUCCUAAUGGUGAAGGUGGUACUAAUCAUAGCUGGCCAUGCAGUCACAGGCUGGCUGUAUAAAACCCGUCCAACCUUUUUUAGCGGCAGCUGAUCUGGCGAUUCUGGUGAAGGGUCUGAUGUGAGGCUCAAGUAGCCAUAACUUGGAGUCACUGCGCCCAUGCAAAUUAGGCUGCCAUCGCUACAACUUUUUGGGUUGAAUGAGGAAAAUGAGAAGCUAACAGGUGGAUCCACAGGGAUUGAUGAAGAAGCACUGGGAAGAAAAAUUGAAAGGAGUAGUAGGAAAAUCAUUUUGUUUGGGACGAAAAUUUGAGGGCUACUUCUCGAAUGGCAUUGCUCAACAUCACAUGUACUUAUAUAGCAUUUAUUUUACUUUAUGGAUAAAAGUUUUCCCCUAAUCUCAUCUUUUAUUUGAGUAAAUAUAUUUGUAUGAUUUAUAAUUGGUAAUAGAAAAUAUAACAAUUAAGUAAAUCUUAUUCAUGUAUUAAAUAUAUAUAUAUAUAUAAAUUUAAAACAUAUAUAAAAAUAUCUUUAUCUAUUAAGUUGUGCUUUUUUCCCAAAAAAAAAAAAGUUGUGCCGAAUUCACGUUCGCAUAUAUUUUAUUUGAGUUUUUUCCUAAUCUAAUAUGAUAUUUUAUUUGAGUAAAUAUAUUUGUAAGAUUAAUAAUUAGUAAAGGAUAAUAUAAUAAUUAAAUAAAUUUUAAUCAUGUAUUAAUAUAUAUAGUCUCUGAUUGGAAUAGCCUCUUUUAAUUUUUUUUGGUUUGGCUGCACAUGGUGGGCUCCACCAUGUGCAGCCACAGCUGGCCACCAGCCUCUCUCCCGGAUAUUGUUCCAAUUCGGAAUCCCGGAUUGAAACAGUACUAUAUAUAUAAACUUGAAGUAUAUAUUAAAAUAUCUUUAUCUAUUCAGUUGUGCCUUUUUUUCAAAAAAACUUUUUUGCCAAAUUCACGUUUGCUAAAUAGGCCGACAAUAUAGGUGUGCAAUUAAGUAGGGAUGACAAUGGGGAGGGGAUCAACAUUCCCAUACCCAUUCCCGAUAUUCUGCAUAUGUCCCCAUCCACUUUUUGUUCUCGUCAGAAUUAUUUGAGGGAAUCUUCGUCCCCUCCCCGAAUAAUAACAAGAGAUCUCCGAAGGUCUCUAAUCCCUGAAUAACUGAAUUUUUUGUUUGUUUUCAAACUUAAUUUAAUCAUAUUAACUUAAAAAUAUAUAAAAUGAAAGUGAAAUUGAUCAUGAAUAUUUCAUUCUACUCCUUCAAACUUUUGGUAUAUAUAUUAUUCAAAUAAUGAUUUUCAAAAUAAAAUUUAAAUAAUGUGAUUUUUAUACAAUAUUUACGUGAUUGUUGUUUAUGAGUAAUGAUGCCUGCUGAUCACCAGCUAUGGCGCAACAAAUCCCCAUGUGUGGCUGCUAGUUGACGUUGCGAUGAGUUAGGCUACUUAGCCACUAACAACGCAACAUGCUAAUUGACGUUGCUAUGAAAGAGUACUCUAUCUUAAAUCGGUUCCAACAUAAUCAAAUGGCUCUAAAGUAGCCAUAGCUAUCAGUUAAUUAAGCUAGUAUGCUUGUGUGUCUGAGAUCUAGGGGGCUGAUAUAUGAUGAGCCUUUGGCCGGCAAAGACAAGCAAAUCAUUGAAAAAUGACAAUGUUUUUACGAAGACAUGAAUAUACGUUAUAAUUUCGUGACUUGAAUUUAAUCCCUUCAAUCCGCAUCAUGAAUAUAGGAGUGGCUCUUGGAUCUCACACGUGCCGUGUUUCUUCAUCUUGGAAAUUGAUGAUUAUCUUAUCUUCGACGGCGCCAAAGCAACGGAACAUUGUGAUUCACUUAAAUAUUCACGUUUUUUUUAGGCUAUUUUAGAUUUCAAUUUUAUAUACUCUUUAGGAUAAUAUAAUUUUCUGGACUGUGUGAACUAUAAUUUAGAAUUUUAGAUAAUUCAAUUGUACAUCGUGAGCGAAUUCUCUUUUUAACAUAUCAAUUCAAUUGUACGGCAUUAGAAUAACAUACUGGAGAUUUGAUCAGAACUCCAAAAUACAUCCAGUUAACGAAAUGGGAUUUGAAUAUUAAUUUCACACAACAACGUUACUUUUGACAAGAUAUUGAGUUACUUUCAAAAUUAAAUCUAAAAAUGAAACACUCAAAGCGAUAUUGACAUUAAAUAAUUUAUGUUGCAAAAUGAUGAUAUCAAUUGAUUUUUUUUCAUGUUAAUAAAAAAAUUAGAGACGAGUUUCAAUUCAAAAUUAAAUCCAACAAGAAACUAAUAGUUUUAAGAGUACAUUUCACAAAAACCACGUAGACAUAUAUUAUAUGACUUAAAUUUUACAUUCGGUAAAUAUUAAAUUUUACAUGGAAAAAUGUGGUUUUUAAAAAAUAUUAUCUUAUAGAUUUUAUUAAAUUAUUAACACGUUGGCCCUAAGUAAGAAAUAACAAAAACUAUUAUUUAAUUAAGAUUAUUAAUUUAUCAAGCAUUAAGAUCGUAUUGUAAUUAACUGGUCUUUUCUCAAUGCAAAAUAAAUUAACAAAUCAUAUAAAUGAAGUGACAUAUGGCAUACUACAAUUUCUUUCUUAGCUAAUCUGGCGAGGAUAUUGUAAAAGCAAAAUAAAAAUAUGAUCGGCCUAAGGCCUAAUUUAUACAAAAUAUUUAAUAACAUAAAAGCAAGUAAUCAAGCAUCGAAAUUAGGGAUUCGUCUUCCAAUAUAUAAGCAUGUUAUAUUGGCAAUGAUUUUGUCAUAUAUAAAUGUCAUUAUGGAUAUAGUCAAAUAUAUCCUGAUUUAGAAAGACUUUUGAUGUGGAUUCUUAUCAGAUACUUCAUUUUUAUUAUCCAUAGAUGUCAGAAUGAAUUUUCAUGCGAAUUUUGGAGUCCACAACGUUGUGAAACUCUAAAUUCACACAAUAUCAGUACGAACAUCGAAUGAGAAAAUGAAUGUACAUGAUAUUUCUAACGGUGCGUUUACUUUUCGGAUUCGGGAAUCAGAAUCCGGAAUCGAAAUAAUUGAUGGCAUUUACUUCGCAAAUAUGAAGUAGGAAUCGGAAUCGGAAUGGUGGGGCCCACCACUAUUUGGGAAUGGGGAAUAGGAGAUUGUUUCCCGUGUAGAGGUGGGAAUGAGUCUCUCAUUCUUAGGAUUAACCAUUUUGCCCUCCCCCAAAAUUAAAAAUGCCAACUUUAUCCUCUUUUAUAAUUAAUUAAUUAAUAUACUAUUAUAGUUAAUUAAUAUAAUAUAUUAUGAUUAAUUAAUGUAUAAAUAUAUUAUUAACUAUAAUUAUUAAAAAUUACAGUUCUUGAAUAAAUAAUCACAAUAAUUAAUAUAUUAUUAUUGUAAUUAAUUAAUUAAUAUACUAUUAUAAUAAUUAUUAAUAAAAUUAUUAUAAGUAAUUCAUAUAUUAUUAAUUAAUUAAUAUAUUUUUACUAAUAAUUAAUAUAUUAUUAACAAUAAUUAUAAUUAUAAUUUUUGAAUAAAUAAUCACAAUAAUUAAUAUAUAUUGUUAUUGUAAUUAAUUAAUUAAUUAAUAUAAUAUUAUAAUAAUAAAAAUAUAAUUAUUAUAAUUAAUUCAUAUAUUAUUAUUAUUAUAAUUAAUAUAAUUAAUUAAAUAAAUAAUAUAAUUAUUACUACUAAUUAAUAUAUUAAUAUAUUAUUAACAAUAAUGAUUAAUAAUUAUAAUUUUGAAUAAAUAAUCAUAAUAAUUAAUAUAUUAUUUUAAUUAAGUAAUUAAUAUUAAUAUUAUUAGUUAAUAUAUUUUUAUAAUAAUUGUUAAUAUAGUUAUUAUAAUUAAUUAAUUACAUUUUUUACAAUUAAUUAAUAUAUUAGUUAAUAAUAAUUAUGACAAUAAACCAUUAAGUAUUUUUUAGUAAUUUGUUACAAUUUAACUCAUUCCGAUUUCGAUUCCAAGACAAAGUAAACAUAUUAAUGACAAUCCAGUUCAUUCCGAUUUCGAUUCCUAUAAUUCAAAUAAACAACUUAUUUGUAUUUUCAUUCCAGCCCAUUCACAUUAUUGUCCAUUCCGAUUCCAGCUCAUUCCAAUUUUAGUUUAGUAAACGCAGCAUAAAUGUCUGGUUAAAUUUUUAUUUUAUGAUUUCCACUAUGAGAAGAGAAUUUUGGUCCGAUAAAGAAGAGAACAAGAGAAAGGAAAAGAAAAAGAAGACAUCAAAAGUUCAAAGCUGCAACGUAAUCAAUAGAAACUGAAUAUGAACAUUUCUACACAAGCACAUACAGUACAUCUCAGAUAGCAAGCCAACAAUAUUAAUCUUCGUCGUUGCUAUCGUUUUAUUCAAUAUUUAUAUACAAAGCCAUUUCACUUUAUUGACGAUAUUAAUUGUUAUUUAUUAUAAUUUAUGUGACAUGGUUUUUCAAGGACAGAUUAGAAUUUUAUUGGCAUCAUCAGGUUUUGCUCCUUGAGGGGAGAACAAGUCAUCCGUAUUUGGAGCAACAAUAAAUAAAAUAAAUAACUCUGUUCGGUGGAAGCAGGCUGAAAAUAGCCCAACUAAACCACUAUAAUUUAGAAGGGGAAGUAAGGCUGCUUGUAUCGUGAGUGAUUGGAUUGUUGAUUAAUUAUUUUUUGAAGUCUCAAAACUUGGUUUCCUUGACGAUCAUCAUGGAAAACUAACGUUUACAAAUUAGUUUGGCAAGUUGGCUUGUAAAUGUAUGAAGGAGAAAAAAAGUAGCCAAAUUAAUGGCUAACCGUUGACGGGAAGACCAUCAAAUUUUCAGAAAUUUUUUCAAAAUCUAGACCCGAGGGUUUUCCAUUAUCAAAAAAAGAAAAAAAACCGAAGCUCUUUCUCUGUGCUAGAUUUUGCAACCGAUGCAGUCUUGACCUCUCGUAAUUAUACCGAUACUUUUUGUGUACUUCUAAUUCCAACUACUUCCUGUAAGCAGCAAUAUCUUGAGACUAUUUUAGGAGUCCUUCACUCAAGUAUAACAAUUAUUCUUGAAAGAUUGAUAAUAAGUCUUUGACUUUGUGUGUUUAACCACGGAUAAUUUUUUGGCUUUUGACAUUUUCACCCUCAUCCUCAAUUCAUCUUCAUCUUCAUCAACAGAACUAACUCAAAUGGUAGCACAUUUCUACUAUGUGUAUCACGUUUAAAACUAUAUCCUUUGGAUUCUAUAAGUUCAAAUCCAACGACCAUUUCAAAUGGGGAUAGAAAAUGGGGUACCUUACCACCACGGUUAAGGUAGGUAGCUGGACCUAUAUGUAUUACGGUAAUUAAUAAAUAUUUUUAUUACUAAUUUCAUUUGUAAUUUAUUUUAAUUAGAUUUGUAAUGAUAAUAGGAAUAUAAAAAAGAACAAAAACUAGAUGCAUUGCAGAGCAAAAAAUAGAAAUUAAUAUAUUAUAAAAAAAAUUCACCAAACACAUUUUUAUUAUUUUGAUAUUUUCAAACAAACUACCAAAUUUACUUUUUAUAUAUAUUUUUUCUUUUUCAUUUGAUAUCUUAUCUUGAAAACAAAAUACCAAAUGCCUUUUCCUUUUAAGAACAUCACACCAAAAAUAUCAUUUUUCUCCUCUAAAAAAAAUUAUAAAAAAGCACAAAAUAAAAAAAAAUAAUGCCAACCACACUCUAAAGGUUUUGUAAUUUGCAAUAUCUGACGCCUAUCAAUGAAUUAAGAUUGUCUAUGUUCUAAGGAGAUGAUAUAUGAUGGGGCUUUGGCCUAUAAAGACAAGCAAAUCAUUGGAAAAUGACAAAAAUGACAAUCUCUUUAUGAAGACAUGAAUACACAUGAUAAUCUCGUGACUUUAAUUUAGUCCAUUCAAAUCGCAUAAUGAUUAUAGGGGAGGCAAAGUCUGUGUUCUAGGAUAUAUGAUGCGGGCUUUGGCCUAUAAAGACAAGCAAAUCAUUGGAAAAUGACAACAAUGACAAUGUUUUUAUGAAGACAUGAAUACACAUGAUAAUCUUGUGACUUUAAUUUAGUCCAUUCAAAUCACAUAAUGAGAUGAUAUAUGAUGGGGCUUUGGCCUAUAAAGACAAGCAAAUAAUUGGAAAAUGACAAAAAUGACAAUGUCUUUAUGAAGACAUGAAUACACAUGAUAAUCUCGUGACUUUAAUUUAGUCCAUUCAAAUCACAUAAUGAAUAUAGGGGAGACAAAGUUUGUGUUCUAGGGAGAUGAUAUAUGAUGCGGGCUUUGGCCUAUAAAGACAAGCAGAUCAUUGGAAAAUGACAAAAAUGACAAUGUCUUUAUGAAGACAUGAAUACACAUGAUAAUCUCGUGACUUUAAUUUAGUCCAUUCAAAUCACAUAAUGAAUAGAGGGGAGACGAAGCAGCAUGUUUCUUCAUCUUAUAAAUUGUUGAUAAUCUCAUCUUGGAUGGUGCUAAAGUAGGAAACAUUUUGAUUCACUUAAAUAUUCACGUUUUUUGAUGCUACCAGAUUUCAAUUUCGUAUAUUCUUAGGAUAAUAUGUCUAUUUUUGACAUAUCAAUUCAAUUGUACUGUGUUAGAAUAACAUAAUGGAACUCCAAAAUAAAUCCAAUAAACGAUAUGGGAUUCCAAUAUUAAUUUCACACAACAAUGUUACUUUUGACAAAAUUGAGUUACUUUCACAACACCUCUUCCACUUCCAUAUAUAUGAAGCGAAUCAAUAACUUAACCCCAUAUAUACCUAAGUCAUAUAUACUCAUUUGUGGCUUCACAAAGUGUUCAUUUCUCUGUUAAUAUGCAAUAAAAUUUUGAUAAAUUAAUAAUUUUGGACAAUAAAUUUUUGUUAAUUUUAUAAAGUUAAUCGAUAGAUUAAUAAAUUAUUGAUUUUGAAGAUAUUCCUUAUUUUAGAAAACAGUAUGAUCACAUUUAUAGCAUUGAUUUGUCUUGAUUUGUAUUUAUUAUGUUUUAUUUGAAUAUUAGUUAAUUGUCUUACAUUCAUAGUAAUAAGCUUAUUAUGGAGUUUUUAUUUUUCCAUGUUAAGAAUGAUGGUUGUACUAUGGAAUCCAUGUUGUACAAAGAACUCAAAGUGAUAUUAUUAUUGAAUAAUUUCUUGUUGCAAAACAACAAUACAAUUAAUUUUUUUUGUACAUUAAGAAAAUUAGAUAUGAGAUUUAAGUCAAAAUUAAUUCCAAAAAGAAACUAGCAAUUUUAAGAGUGUAUCUUACAAAAACCAUAUAUACAUAUACUAUGUCGACUUAGUUUUACAUUAGGUGAUUGUUAAUUAAUGUAUAACGGGUAUCCUAUGGAAAAAUAUGGAUUUUUAAAAAUUAUUAUCUUAUAGAUUUUAUUAAAUUAUUAAUAGAUUGGCCUAAAGUCGAAAAUAACAAAAAAAUAUUAUUUAAUUGAGAUUAAUUUAUUAAUAUCGUACUAUACUUAGUUGUUCUUUUUUCAAUGCAAAACAAAAUGACAGAUCAUAUAAAUGAACACUACUAGAAAAAUGGUCUUUACUGACUUUAGAAUAGUGUUAGAAAUUACUUUUACUGACACUUGUUAAUUGUGUCAGUAAUCUGGGAGUCAGAAAAAUAGUGACACUUGUAAGUGGUGUCAGUGAUUACUAUUACUACAGUAUCACCGAUAUUAUGACACCAUAGUGUUAGUAGUUAUUGAUAUUUUAUUAGUAUCUAUGGUUAUUGUUACCAUGAUAUCACUAGUUAAUUUAUUUUUUAAAAAGUAAAAAAUUAAAUUGGAUCAUUGCCUAUUGAUUUAUUUGUAAAAUUAAAAGCACCACAAAAUAAAAAAAGAAAUUGAUUUAUAUCACAAAAUCUUUCAUUUCACAUUUAAAUAUUAUUAGUAUAUAUUACAAAUUGAACUUCAAUAGCCAAAAUAUGAGAUAUCCUACUCUCAUAACUAAAUAAUCCAAAUUCAAUACAUAAAAAUUAGUCUCUGUCCCUAUCUGACCAACUUCCAUCAAAAUUAACCUCAUCACUUCUGCUUUCACUGUGAUAAUUGGAGCGCCUCCGACUCCAAGUUGUUUCAUGAACUUGACGUUCAUCAUCAUGGCUUCUGCCAGAACCACUUUUCACAAUAUCAGCCUCCCUUGAUCUGGACCUUCUGUAAUGAUGCCUGCAUAAGAAAUUACAAAACCAUAAAUAACCAGAAGAUUUCUAACAUCAGCAGUAAAUACAUUAACUAAUGAAAUUUGAUCAUAGUUUGGAUCAUCAUCCUUUGUACAUAAGAUUGCAAUGCUACAUCACCAAAGGCUUCUUGUUGAAUCUAAUUAUUUUCUUGCCAUGCUUGCAACAUGGUCAUUACGCCACAUACUAAUCAUACAUUUUUGAAAGUGGGUUUUAAACUCGAACAAUAGACCAAAAAAACCAACAGAAAAACUUUCUUUAAAUCUUGCAUUGUGAGAACAUCUUUUCAUUAUUCAUUGCUUCUAAGAAAACCGAGUUAGGAGACUUGAAGAAAACACAAAUGAAGAGAACGAUACUAUGAAGAAACCUCUCAAAAUCAUUGGUCAAACAUGGAAGUUUAAACUAAAAAAUUCAAAUAACAGAAAGUGAAUUAAAUAAACAAGAGUUCAUAUAUACUAAGUACAGUUUUUAGUGUCUAUGACUAGUAAUAAAAGCAUACCUGUCGGCAUUAGUUGAAUCUAUUUUGUUCCUCGUUUGUCCUGAGCGUUCUUGAUUCCAGGUCCCAGAUUCAUCAGAAUAACCAAAUAAAGCAGUCAUCUUUUUCACCCAAUAUCUCGGAGGUGGUUUAUCCCAAUCAGCCCAUUCAUAGUCUCCGCUAGGGUUGGGAAAAUAGUGGAUAAAAUUGCAAGCCAUUCCACAAGAGCAUGUCUGUUAAAAUAUGCCCAACAAAGAUAACAAGAGUGUAAAAAAAAGAAGAAAAGAAACAAACUCAUUUAAUAUCAAAAGCAAAAUGGCAAAGAAAAAAGCAAGUGUAUAAGCCGCACAAUUAUAACUCUGAAAAAUGAGACAAUUGGCUGUACAUUUAGUCUUGACUUCAUAUAUUCCCCACAUAUGGCAAUCUUCCAUCUAGUCACAUUAAUAAAUUCACAUGUGAUCUGUCAAGAAACACACAAAUAAAUAAACCAUCACUAUCCAGAAAAUGACAAGCUGUAAAAUUCAGUAAACAGUAAUGUGUUGAUUACAAUUUAAGCAUGGAGAAAAAUUUCAGAUUAGACUAUGUCAACAGUGUCCAUAGAUAGUUAAAAGAUGGGAGACUGUGCUGGCGUUCACUAAGCAUAUAAUUUUUCACAGCUUAACCCAUUGCAAUUUUACCAGUGUCAAGUCUAAAGGAAACUAGUCAGGAAUCUUCUGUAAAGUAAAUAAAUAGUGAAACAACUGUUCUCAUAGCAAUAAAAUGAAAUUAUUUUAAUAAUUUUCUUCAACUUUCAGACCAAUUAAACAAGUGAAGCAAUUUUAGUACAAUGCACAGCAAUUUAAGCUGAAUGGACAAUUGGAAAAAUUACGGAACAACUAGACCCCAACGAAUACUACAAAAACAACCCUUAAACAAUGACUUAAGAAAGUAGAAGCUUCUCCUAGAUCAUGCCUUUUCAAUCUCCCUUUGCUAAGAAAACUGCCCUAGUAUUUAAGACUAUCCAAAUCCUAUCAACAUGUUGGGACAUUUAAAUACAGCCUCCAAGAAGACAUGCUGUAAGCUUUACAAUUGAAGUCUGUCGAAUAAACCAAAUCUUAUACCCAAUGCCAAGAGCUUUAAUUCAAUCCAUUUUAACAGGCACCAAUUACCAGGAAUGCAGGCAGACAAAGAGGAUCAAAAUGACAGGAUAUCAGUAUUCUAGAAUUUCUAUCAGAAACAUGAAAAGUGGCAAGGCCUAUUCACUGAGAGCCAAACAUUUUUUACAUAGUAGUUACUUUAUAUAAAACAAAUAAAUAUAAAGUAGAAAGUAAGCUCCAACAAUUCUUCACAAAGACCUGUUUCCCAGCAAAGUAACGACCAUUGACAGAAUGGUAAGCGAGAACAGCUGAUUCCAGCGACUUAUAGUGAACAUAGACAUUUCCUCUUAAGUGGGAAGAACCAUUUCUACACACCUGCAAAUAUUUGUUAGUUAGUAAAUGAAGAGCACCAACAACAUGUGUCAGUAAAUAGGUGUUGUGGCAAAUAAUCCUAAACCUUCCAAAGUAAUGACCAUUGUUAGAUGACCAGCUCUGACAAUCGACGAUACAUAGUAUAUUCCACAAGAAACUACUAGUUGUUAAGGAGAAAUUUUUAACUCAAACAGAGUUGUACAGUUAUGUGACUAGUGAGAGAGAGAAAGAAAGAAAGAAAUAACGAAAGAAAGAAAGAGAAAUAAGCCAAACAUAUAAACAAGAAAUUUCAUAAUAGCUAAAAUCAUUUGCAGCAUGUAGGAUACAUAAUAGCUCAUAGCCUUCACUCUUACCCAAUCAAGGCCAACACUAUGAAUCUCCAUCAUUAUGAAAACAUAAAUCUCUGAUUUCACAUAGUCAAAGAAAAGAAAUAAAAUGUGAACUCAAAAGAACUCACCAGUGAUACUAUCUAGAAUAGUUAUAAACACAUUACAAUAUAUCAACUGGAAAAAUAUUUUUCUGUAUAAAAAGCAUCUUCUAUAUAGCAAGGACAAUGCGUAUAUAAAAUGAUCCAACAAAUUGCACAAAAGUAUAGAAGUUUGGAAGAGUCCUUAUCAGGAUACAAGAAUCAGCAAUUACAUACCUCGAGCCUCUCAUCUUGCUCCCAAGCAAGCCCGAGACCAUUAUACAUAUUCUUGAUGAGCAAAGUGCACGAUUUAUCAGGGUAAAAAUGAACUAUGUUGCAUCUCUGACCAAACCGACAAGCUCCAAUCUUUAAAUGGAAAGGACAAUAAGCUUUAUCCUGCCAUAUAUAAUAAAAACAUGAUUGACCAUGAUAAAUAGGCAAAUAUAAUAGAAAUGAAAUAUAAUACAGUAAUUGCAAAUUGAAAAUUUCAGAUAGACAGAUUGAAAGAAAAGGCAUGCAUGUUCAGUUCCAAAAUUGGGCACUUGUUGAGCAACAGUCUCCAACGCCUGUUGUGCAUUCUGGUGAUCAGCAAAGGCUUCUGAUUGUGGGGGCCGAGGAUUUGAUGUAGGCCUAUCAACAUCCUGCAAAAGGAAGUAAUAACGUAGAAAGUUUAAUUUUUGCCAUAACCGAAGAGAAUGGGCAUCCUGAAGUAAAGUAGAAACAAGCCUAACAUAGUUGUCAAUAGAGUCAAAAUUACCUCCUUUUUACUUAGUGGGUUCGCAUCCUUCUUCGGAACUCUAACCUUUUUCUUCCUAAUAAUAAUCUCAUUUCCUUGCCAUAUAAUUUCUGCAGGCCCUUCUUCAACAUAUUCCCAAUCAUCAUCCUCAUCACAUUCAUUCUCCUUUUGCCUCCAAAUUCGCGAUGCUCCGAGAACAUGCCGUAGCUGGUGAGCAAGCGGAGGAUAUGUUGCAAGUUCUCGGCGUCCCCACCGCCGGAUGGGAGGAUAUGUGUCAAGAUCUAGGAGGCAGAGAGAGGGGUGUUGGCCCCAACUUGCCAGAUGGCAUCCGGUACGUGGAGACGGAUGGCAGCGGUUAGAGACAUGGGAACGCUUAUCAUGUUGGCUAGCUCCAUUAUGGCCAGUCUUACCUUCUUCCCGCCAUCUCUGCACUCGUUAUCUUCCAUUACUGCUUACUGACCUUUGAUUUCACAGCACCAUGCCGGCCAAACAAAAAGAUAAGACCUGAGCACUUUUUGACAAUUUGGAUGUUAGGGAUUUUUCAGAUCUGGGGAGCUUAGGAGGGAACGAAUGCUUUGUUAGAGGGAGUUGAAAAGUUGUAUUUUGGAUAAGGUAAGACUUGUGCAUUUGUUUUGUUUUUAUCCACUCAAAAAGUAUAACUCUAAAAAAAUUAAAAAUAAUUCGUAGCCUAGUGGUCUUUUGAUUUAAUGUAGAAGCUCUAGGUUUAAGAGGUCUUGGGUUCGAAUUCAGACUAAAACAAAAUUAAAAUGAUAAUUUUUAAUUGCUGAUACCUAAGCGUCAUUGAUCGCUAUUACUAAAGCUAUUGAUACUUCAGUAUUAGUAAUUAGUGAUACAUAUUUGUUAAACGUGGAAAAUGAUCCAAAUAUAUGUAUAUACUGAUACUUUUAAAUAAAGUGUCAGAACAUAAGUAUCAGUAAAAACCAUUUUUCUAAUAGUGGAAGCGACAUGUGGCUUAGUUCAAUUUCUUUCUUAAUUAAUUUAAUGAGGAUAUGGUAAAAGCAAAAUAAAAAGAUCAUUAGCUCUAAGGCCUAAUUUAUACAAAAUGAUUAAUAACAUAAAAGUAAGUGAUCAAUCAUCCUAGCUGUAUGUUAGGGAUUCAUCUUCCAAUAUAUAUGUAUGUUAUAUUGGCAAUGAUUUUGCCAUAUAUAAAUGUCAUUAUGGACAUUAGCCAAAUAUAUCUUGAUUUGGAAAGAGUCCUUUAUGUGAAUUCUUAUCACACAUUUCAUAUUUAUUGUCGAUAGAACUAUAGACUAUGCUAUAGAUGUAUGAAUUCAUAUUUCUAAUAAAGUUUAUAUUGUUAUAUAGAUGUAGAGAAAAAUUUUGGACGUCUGCACGAAUUUAAUUUCAUUUGAAUUUAGAAGUUCAUAAUAUUGUGAAACUCUAAAUUUGCCCAAAAAUUCAUGGGGACGUUCGCAGUAGAAAAGGACUCUAAAUGUAAUUAAUAUGAGUAAUAAUAUAAUCACAAACUCUUGUACAAAUUUAUUUCGUACAAACUGAUGUGUCAUGAUAAAAUUGGUUGAAUUAAAUAUUUCUGGACCCACAUGAUCUAUUUUUAUUAUUUUGUAUUUUCAUUCAACCAAUGAAUUAAUGCCAAAUCAGUUUGUACAAGAUAAAUUUGUACAAAAGUUUGUGGUUGUAUCAUCACUCAAUUAAUAUCUGCGGCAAUGCAUACAUUGUGUCCCAUGGUUAAAUUUUUAUUUUAUGGUUUCCACUGUGAGAAGAGAAUUUUCGUCCCAUAAAGAAGAGAACGAGGAAAAAGAAAAAGAAAGAAGUUCAAAACUGCAGCGUAAUCAAUAGAAGCUGACAUAAACAUUUCUACACAAGUACACACGGUAAAUCUCAGAUAGCAAGCCAAAGAUAUUAGUCUUAGUCGCUGCUAUCAUUUUAUUCCAUAUUUAUACAGAAGAGCCAUGUCACUUUAUUGAUGAUAUUAUUAUUUAUUAUAAUUUUUAUAUGACAUGGUUCUUCAAGGCUAGUUUAGAACUAUAUUGGGAUCGCCAGGUUUUGCUUCUUGAUAGAAGAAGGCGGCAGCGGGAAUGUUGUGAAGGUCCAAUCAAGCACCUGAUGGCUUUCUGCUCUCCCGAGCCCUGUAGAUGCCGUGAAGCCAACAUAGACUGAGCUUAGAACUGUUUCUGACAUGACAAUAGGUCUUUCAAUCAACUUCUGAAGUGGGUUCCCCGCAUCAUAUGCCACAUAAACACAGAGUAUUUUCGUUCAUCCAUCGUAAUAAACUUGAACCUGGAUCGGUCUUCCACUUUUGAGAUCAAUGCCAAAGCUGUCGAGACUCUUAGCUGGAUCUGAUAUUAAGCUUGCUAUGUCGAUGCCGAUAUGGUUAUUAUCUGGAUCAUUUUUAUUUUUGUUCUUGAAUGUGUCCAGCUCCACGGCUAAUAUCGAACCAUUGUUACCUACAUAUAUAAUUUUCAUAUGCAUUAUAUAUAUAUAUAUAUAUAAAAUUAUCUCAAGAAGGUUUCCGCACAUUAUUUGGUGAGGGCUCCCCACCAUAUGCUACUAUUACAACACCCGCCAUAUUAGGGGUGUUCAGAAUCCAAUCCGAUCCGCCUAAUCCGUCCGAUCCGCUCAAUUCGAUCCGUAUAAAUCCAAUCCGUGGAUUGGUGGAUUGGAUAUGGAUUGAAAAUUUAAAAAUCCGCAGUCGAUGGAUUGGAUAUGGAUUUACUUCUGUAAAUCCGCAGAAAUCCGUGAAUCUGCAAAAAAAAUAAAUAAAUAUAUAAUUAAAAAUUAUUAUAAAUUUAAUUAAAAAAAUUUAUAAAUGUGACAUUACAUAGUUACAUAAGCACUAUAACAUAUCUUAGCCAUUACCCAACAAUAAUAUAAAAUAAAAAAUAAUUAAAUAAUCAAAUAUAACUUGUAAAAAUUGUAAAACAAAAUAAAAGCAAAGUCACACGCACUAGCAAAAGCAAAGUAACAUAACGCCAAGUCACCAACAAUUUGCAAAGUCACCCAAAAGCAAAGUAACAUGACGGCAAGUCACCAACAAUUUGCAAACAAAAAACCCUAAGCUUUCCCGCCGUCACACACACUAGCAACACUCGAUACUGGUUGGAUACACUCUUGACACGAAUUUGAAGGACAUCGGCCGCUGAUUUCGGCGAGAACAAGCCAUCUUCUUUCCCAAGUCCAUCGAGCCACUUCACAUUCACUGGUUCCAGCUGAACAAUUUCACUAUCACAACCUUCAAGAUCGCCACCCAUACGGCUUCUUCUGAUUCCCAUCGUGGACGGCUCUGUAAUCACCACUUUUCGACAGGCGCAACAACCCUGAUGAAGGAUCAGACUGUAUUUGGUUCCCGAAACUUCGCCAUUUCAAUUAAUUGUGGCUUUAUUCGAACAAUUAAUUUCGAUGUUAUAUUAACGUAUUAUUAUAACUUUAUUUGAACAAUUAAGCUUGAUGUGUUAUAUUUUGAAACUUUGAACGUAUUAUUGUAGCUUUAUUUGAAUAAUUAGUCUCGAUGUGUUAUAUUUUGAAACUUUAAAUGUAUUGUUUUAGCUUUAUUUAAAUAAUUAAUUAAUUUAAAUUUUAUUAAAUUUUAAAUUUAAUUGGUAACAAAAUUAUUUUUAUAUUAGAUUUUUUUUAUUUCAUUAGUUGGAGAGAACUGAAAAUUUUUAUUUCGAAAACUAAUGCGCAAAAUGGUGGAUUGGAUAUGGAUUGAGUCAAAUCCGCAUCCGAUCCGCAGACGUAUGGAUUGGAUAUGGAUUGAGUCAAAUCCGCAUCCGAUCCGCAGACGUAUGGAUUGGAUAUGGAUUGAGUCAAAUCCGCAUCCGAUCCGCAAAUGUAUGGAUUGGAUUUGGAUUGAAUUUUAUCAAUCCGUGGAUUGGAUUGGCUUGGAUUGAAAAAUUAUAAUCCGCAAAAUCACGGAUCAGAUAUGAAUUGAUGUCCAAUCCGUAAAAUCCGAUCCGUGAACACCCCUACGCCAUAUGGUAUAACAACAUUUCUUCAUUUUAAUAAAGCGUAGAACUCUCAUUAUAUAGUUCUUAUUCAAUAAGGACAUCUUUAUUUUGUUAAAGUGAAAAUAUUACUAAAAUAUAAAAAAUUUUAAUAUAUUAGAUACUGUAUUUUUUUAUUUGUUAAUAUAUUAAAAUAUGUAUUAUGUUUGUCUAUUAAUGGCAUCCAUAGUUUAUUAAAACGAGGUUGUAUUCAAUAAUAAUAAUAUACACGCAUAUAUAUCAUCAUAUUGUUUAUCAGUACUGUUAUUAUAUAUAUUAUUCGCCUAUGCAAGCAUCAAGUAUGUGUCAUUACUUUAUCUGUGUUAAUUCUUAAUUAUUCACAUUUGAUCAUCAUAGCCGAUGUAGUCAGUCCAAGAUUUCCGAAGCCGCUGUUUGGUGGUGAAGGGCUGCUAUCGGGUGUAAGAACAAACGUCAUGCCUUCUACCGAAUCCGUUGUAUUUGGGUAGGGUGAGAUCCUAAUGGUGAAGGUGGUACUAAUCAUAGCUGGCCAUGCAGUCACAGGCUGGCUGUAUAAAACCCGUCCAACCUUAUUUAGCGGCAGCUGAUCUGGCGAUUCUGGUGAAGGGUCUGAUGUGAGGCUUAAGUAGCCAUAACUUGGAGUCACUGCGCCAAUGCAAAUUAGGCUGCCAUCGCUACAACUUUUUGGGUUGAAUGAGGAAAAUGUGAAGCUAACAGGUUGAUCCACAGGGACUGAUGAAAAAGCACCGCGAAGAAAAACUGAGAGGAGUAGUAGGAAAAUCAUUUUUUUGUUCUGGGAGGGCUACUUCUUGAAUUGCAUUGCUCAGCUUCACAAGCACUUAUUAUAUGGGGGACUUUUUUUUUAUUAAUUUUAUUAUUAUUGUGGUUUUUGUUAUUAUUACUACUAUUUUGCGUGCUAGGGCGAUAUUUUAAAAGUCACUCUCGUCUGAAAACUAUGUGUAGCACAUGCAUAUAAUUGUAUGAGUAAAAAAAUAUAUUGAUAAAUUGGUAUGUAUAAAAAGGUAUUGUUGUUUGCAUAAAAACUUGUAAAUGAUCACUGAAUACAAGAAAUAUUUCUAUUAAAAAAUAAACUCUUUCACUUUAUAAAAUUUUAUUUUUUUUAUACGAGAGUCUUCAUUUUAUUUGUCAUGUGUAAUUUUGUGUCCAAAUAAUAUUAUUCAAUUUUUAUCUAAUGGCUUUGCUCAAUUAAGAAGUACAGUCUAACAUGCCCACCCACAACAAAUGUUUAGUCAUAAUGAGACUAGUGUAUGAAAUGUGAGUAAAGAUAAAUCUACAAUCUCUUAAUAAAUUUGUUUUGUAUAAAUUGAUGUAGCACAAUUUAACUGGUUUGAUUAAAUACAGCUUGACCUACAUAAUUUAACUUUAUUAUUUUUUAUUUUCAUCCAAUCAAUAAAUUUAUACCAUAUCAUUUUGCACAAAAUAAAUUUAUACUAUAAUUUGUAACUUUGUCAUCACUCAUGAAAGUAUUUGUUAUGCGGUAAAAAACUAAAAAAUGUAAUAUAUAUAUAUACACACACACACACACAAGUAUAUACAUAUAUAUAUACAUAAAUAGGUGAGAGAGCGUCUGCACUCUGGAAAUUGCAAGCUCUUCAACUAGCAACUAGCUACUAGAUAUGAAAUAAUAAAAAAUUCAGACUCUUAUGAGCUACAAAAAUAUUAUAUAAGUCUACGACUCUUAUGAAUGAACAAUGGGUUAUGUACAGUCGUUGCUAUAUAAAAAAAAUUCAUGAAACUUAAAGUUUAUAUUUUUAUAUUGUAGCUUCUAUUGAACAAAGGUCUCGACUUUGCUUGGUUUAAAAUUCUAAAUAAUAAAUUAGGAACUCCUCAUGACCUUAAUUUCCGUGAAUUUUUAUAAAUGCUAAGUCACAUGUCCAUUAAUGAUUAUGUAAAAUUAAUAUUUAACUACUCUCAUAUCCUUUAUCUACUAAUAAUCAAUAAUCCAUGUGAUUUGUUCCAAAAAAAUUUCAGUUUGGAAUACACCAUACAUCGUCAACGAAGUUUAUUGACUUGCUUUGAUUUAGCAUGAGGUUGGUGAAGCAACUGACUGUUGCGGAAGGGAUACUUAGAAAGUGUCUAAAAGAUUUAAAAAGAGAGGGAAACUAAUGAUAUUUGAAACUACAGCCUUGAUGUGCAAAUUUAAGAUCCUAAUUCCUACGACAGCCUUAUAAAAGCAAAAAAAAAAAAAUUUGAUGGAGAAGGCGAAGCACAGGGCGGGGAGGUUGAAGCGGACCUUAUCUACCACAGGAAAUAUCUAUAAAUUAAAUUUGAAAGUUAUAGAGCUCAUCAGGGAACAAAGUAUAGAAGCCUUGGGUAGAUUUUGGACAAUCUUUGAAUUAAAUAUUAUAAUGUAUAGAGAAUCAUUUGUCUCAUGCAUAAGCACAUACACAAUAUAAGAAACAAAUUUCGUCCGUGUUUAAAUAUAGGACAUAUUUAGUUGAACAAUUAUAAUUUAAAAAUUAUUGUACUAAAGUGUUCAAUAAACACUUUAUGUUAUGAUUCUUAAGUUAAGUUGAUUUUAUUUCACUUUUGUAUGACGAAAAUAUCAUAAUAUCUUAACUAUUUUUAUCAAAAUUAUUAUAUAAAAAUUACAUUUCAGAACUAUAAUUUUUCUUUUCACAAUUUUUAUUUUAUAAUUAUAUUUGUUAAGUCACAAUGCCUUAAUACCAAACGGACCCUUUAUUAUGGCAAUAAUUUAAAUUGACACAUGGUGAUUGGUAUUUACCUUGUAUGUCAUGUAUUUCGCCUCAAAUUAGAAUCGACAUAGAUAUUUUAUUUGUAUCUAAUAAUCUAGUCAAGAAUAUUUCGAUUAUUAUUUGACACAGUUAUUGACCGUAUCCUUGAUCUAAUAUUUUCUAAAAUUUCCCCAUGUUUAAUGGGUUUUCGGAUGUGAGAUUCUAAAUAUUUAUGCUAGAAAGAUCCUAAAACGUCAGAUUAUGUGUGGUAAAGUUACAUGUACAGAUAAUUGAACAAUUAUUUAUUAUAUAAGGGGUUGAGAAUAAAAUUGAAACCGGAUGAAGCAUAAGUGACAAGAAUUUAGCUGUAAUGUUGAAUGGGUAAAUGAAAGCUUGCACGGGACACCGGACACAGCACGGCUGGCAAAUAAUCCUUUACACAAUUGGGUACGAAAAACGUUGGCCACAGAUUCUUCUCACUCGUUUUUAUCCUUCACCCAUUUGUUAUAAAAUUCACCAACUUCAGAAUGUGUUUAGUAAUCAAUUAAUUUAAAAGACAUAGUGAAUGAAGAGAAGAAAGGGGGAUGAUAAUUUGCAGUACCUGAGUUGCAAUCAGCAACUAUUGUUAUUAAAGAAGCUGAUAUAAUUAAUCAGUAUAUCAAAGGGAAGCAUUGGGCCAUGAGGCUCUGUAUUCAUAUAUACAAUCAAAUCAGGAAGUGCUGAUGAUUCCAAAUUUUUCCAUGCUCCUGAAGAAACCUUGCACCAGGGGGCAUGUUGAUGGCAACUCUAAGCAGUGGCUGCAGCCUGCUCCUCAGCAACUUGUGCAGCUGGAAGAAGGGUGCAGAUGAGGUUGCGGUCACCAUACACAUUGUCAACGCGUCCUGAUAUAGCAGUCCCGAGAAGUCCAAUGUCAGUACAAUCAGGCAAGGAAUUAAAAGACAUGUUUGUAUUUCAGUGACUGCUAAAAGUCGGAAAUUACCAUAAGCCUAUGAAGUCAAAAUUGAAAUAACCUACAGCGACACAUGGGUUUGAUGUGAAGUUUAUGGCACAGAAUUUUAUAUUGCUGUUAUGUUGUUAAUAUUACUUUCAAAUAGGUUAAAAGGAGAUAAAAGAUAAGAUGCAUUAUUAUAGACAAAGGACCCCUGCUCUGACAUAAUAAAUUGUGCAGUCUCAUUUUGCCUAAUAAAGAGUUCGAUGGUGUUAGUCUGGCUUACUGGAUAAGGCAGCUAAAUUAGUAGUACAACUAGAACUUAAAUAUGAAUGAUGACAAUAAUGUGAACAAAAAAGUUAUUCAACGACUUCACGAAUUGCAGAUUCUGGCAAUGAAGUUGAGGGUUGAGGGCACAUAAGGGGUAUGAUGGACACGCAUACCUGUAGCAGGCCAGAACUUAGCAAACCGGAGCCAGGAAGCAGGAUAGGCUGCAUAUUCUCGAGAGUAUGGUUUAGUCCAUGUAUCUCCCAUGAGCAAAGAUGGUGGAUGAGGCGCCCCCUGCAUUUCCAAAUUUCAGAUAAUAAACAUAAGGCUUCAUAAAUAAACUUUGAUUCCACGGAGAACUGGAUAUACAUAUGUUAAUUUCUUUCACUAUGUAACUAAAGAAAUAGCCAUGGUGAAGAAACAAGCAUGUCACCUUCAGGACAUUGUUGUGGAUAUCUGCCUUCCCAUUUUCAAUCUGUGCAAUUUCUUCUCUGAUGGAGAUGAGAGCAUCACAAUACCUGUCCAACUCUUCCUGCAAAAGUAGUGAAUUUGGUUAGAGAAAGUAAAAUUUGAAAGAAGAGAUCUUCUCUGUUAUGACAUACCUUGCUUUCACUUUCAGUUGGUUCAAUCAUAAGUGUGCCUGGAACAGGCCAUGACAUUGUUGGUCCAUGGAAUCCAUAAUCCAUAAGACGUUUGGCAACAUCUUCGGGCUCUAUCCCGGCAGUAUUCUGAGAUGAAAAAGGUUUACAAUUUGUUAUGGAAAUAAACAGUAGAUCAAGAGGAAACUAAUUGAAACUUCUGUGUCAUAAGAACAACCUUCAAGCCUCUUAAGUCCACAAUGAAUUCAUGAGCAACUGUUCCAUUGACACCACGGAAAAGGAUGGGGUAAUGUUUCUGAAAAACCAAAACAAACUUAACUAGGUCAAAAUUAUCCAGAAUUUAUAACUGCAAUGGCAAGCAAUAUAGAAGGUAAACCAAGCAUGCGUGAACAAAUCAUUCUUCUUCCUGAAGAAAGUUUGAGCAAAAGGUUAUGUGAGCGUAGCAAGUGGAAGUUGCUUUGCUUAGACAAUAAAAGUGUGACAAUGUUUUAUAGAAGUAUAAGAACAUCCGCAAAGCGAUGCAACCACCAAAAUGAAACUUACUUAUUUUAAAGUAAAGAUAUUAAAGGAAAAGUCAAGAACCUCCAAACGUUUUGCCAUGUAGUUUGCAUUCAGAAUAGCUAUCUUUGAAGCCUCAGUGAGUCCUUUAGAACCCAUCAUAGCUAUGUACGUAUAUGAUAUUGGCAGGAUAAGUGCAGAGCCCCAGGGUGCAGCUGCAAUUGUGCCCAGGGGUUGAGACUUUUCAGGGGCAGGAAUACCACCUGUGGAUACCUUCAUCAUGGAAAUAAAAUUAAAAAAUUAAUAACUGAAUGAAAAAUAUCGGAGCAGCAAAUACAUCAGAACAAUUUGUAGACUUUACUGAGCCCUAUUACUAGUAGCAGAUAUUCAAUCAUUUAUAGGCAUUUGAUUUAUUAAUGGUCGGAAAGAUACUAAUGCAUAAAAGGUAGUAAAUAGCUUGAACUGCAUACCAAGGGCCUAUCUGUGCAGAAGAGAAGGUUCCAUCAUAACAAUUACAGAGUUUUUUUUUUUUGGGUUUUUUUGGUGGGCGGCCUAAAAGUCAUCAGCAGCCAUAAGCUCAAUACAAUGAGUCUAAUAAUAAUAAUAAUAUAUACUAUGUGUAUUCAUGCAUGAAUAAUAGGUAAACAUAAAAUUGGUAUUUCCUAUAAAACUAGUGGAAAAUCAAAUUAAACGAUGCAAUAUUCUCCAUCUAAGCUAAAAUGUAAAUAUAUUAAAAGUAGGAUGAAAAAGUAUGCAAAGAACACUCGUUAAAUGUACGAGCACAUACCACAGGAUGUGAAGGCAGAAAGGGUGCCAAGUGUUUCUUCACACCAAUAGGGCCCAUACCAGGACCACCACCUCCAUGCGGAAUGCAAAAUGUUUUGUGGAGAUUGAGAUGGCAAACAUCAGCUCCAAUGUAACCAGGGCUUGUCAGACCGACCUACAAAACAAAAAUUUUCUCAGACAAUUUCCAUUGGUGAGCUGUAUGCAAUGCGAAAAAAUGCCUGUAAGGUUGUUCAAUUUUUUGAAGAGUUGAGACAUAGUUUGAAGAUCAGCACUGUUAAGAUGCAGAGAUGCAUGAAAAAUAAUGAACAUUUAAGUGAUGAAAAGCAAGAGAAGAUCCUACAGCUCCACACAUCUAAUUGAUUACAAGAAAAGAUUGGUCAAGCUGAACAUUAUAGAAGUCUACGGCCCUAACUCAACCCAAAAGCCAGCUCCAAGUCUUAUAUACUUAACCCAAGUUCAAUACUCAGUCGAUGUGGGAUAUUUUCCCUAACACUCCCCGUCAUGUGCAAGCCAGUUUUUUUUUACAAGUCCUUGUCACGUGUUAAGGUAGUGAGGGUCUACUCAUGUGGUGAGUUUGGCUCUAAUACCAUAUAGAAGUCUACGGGCCUAACUGAACCAAAAAGCCAGCUCAAUAGUUGAGGGUUGCCCAAGUCUUAUUUACUUAACUAACAUCAAUACUCAUUCGAUGUGGGAUAUUUUCCCUAACAAACAUAUGCUGAAUUGCUGAUGAUUAACUCACCUGGCAAGUAAUCCUUUUUCAAGCUCAUAUUACUUGUAUCUACAGGUUUACAUUCUGACUCCAUUGACCUCAAAAUCCGUUACUGCUACCCAUUGAAAGAUGCAUAUAAAUCUAAAUGAAUCAACGUACUAUUUUACAUCAUUCUACAAUAUGAGAUGCUUGAGUCAUCAAAAUGUAAAAUGAUAGUUCAUAGGAACAUAUUUAAAGAAGUAACAGACCUGAGCAUUCAUGUUAGCCCCGUCCAUAUAUACUUGACCUCCAUUAUCGUGAAUUAUCUUGCAUAUCUCAUCAAUACCUUCUUCAUAAACUCCAUGAGUUGAAGGGUACGUUACCUGAAAGUUAAAUUUAAUUCAUAUAUCAAGAGAAAUUGCACAAACAAGCAUUCCCAAAUGUCCUAGUCAUAUUUAAGUUUUCUACUAAUACAAAAUGAAUUAUCAGUACAUGUUGCAAAGCCUCUUUACCAUAAGGGUUGAUAGGUUGUCCCUAUUAGCUUCUGCGGCCUUCCUUAACUCUUCAAUGUUGAUGUUACCCUUGGCAUCAGUUCCAACAGAAACAAUCUUCAUUCCACACAUGGCAGCAGUAGCAGGAUUUGUCCCAUGGGCUGACACGGGUAUAAUGCACACAUUGCGGUGAUGGUCUCCUCUUGCCUACAGUUUCCAAUAACAGUCCAAGGAUUGUUAAAAAUGGAGGGAAAGGAGCGGGAAAGGAAUCCAGGCAAUAUGUCUCAAGUUUUACUCCAAGUUUUUGGCUACAAGGGAUAAGAGCAUAGUUUGUAAACACAGUUACCACCCAUUUACCUUAUGAUAAGCGCGGAUAACCAUGAGCCCAGCAUACUCACCAGCUGCACCAGCAUUUGGUUGCAAAGAGAAAGAGUCAAAGCCAGUAAUGGUACACAGCCACUCACCCAGAUUGUUAAACAUUUCCUUAAGAGACAAAAAAUGAUCAUCUAUCAGGAAAUAAUAUAUGUGAAACAUUUAAUAGACUAAUGCAGCUGUAAAUUCUGUGCGCUACUGAAGAUGCCUUGCUAAUUACCUGAUAACCCUGAGCCUGGUCAGCAGGGGCAAAAGGGUGUAUGUUAGCAAAGCUAGGCCAUGUCACUGGCAUCAUUUCAGUUGUUGCAUUCAAUUUCAUUGUACAAGAUCCCAAUGGAAUCAUACUAUGGCAUAGUGAGAGCUCCUUUGAUUGUAACAGAUGAAUGUAUCUAAGCAAUUCAUGCUCUGUGUGGUAUCUAUAUAAUAUUAAAAAACAGUAUAAGUCAGAGAAGCCUCUGAGUUAUGAAGUACAGGUAGUUUGAGUGAUAGUAUAGAGUUGUACUUGUUAAAAACAGGAUGUGUCAGAUACGGACUCUCCCUUGUUAAUCCAGACGGAAUUGCAGUCUCAACCUCUUCAGCCAGAGAUGCAGCAGUGAAUGGAACCUGACAGUUUAACAAAGAAGGUUCUGUUUAGAAAUCAAACAAUGUAAUUAAUACAGCGAACAUCAUUUGGGGAAAAAAAAAAUGUAGAACGCACUGAUUUGCCCCCAGCGAAAACUAUGAAAAGCUUAUCAACAUCCUCCAAGGUGGUUGUUUCAUCAAAGGAAGCAGUGACCUGAGAGACAAAAAAACUUCCUUAAUCUGACAACAAAAAAUCAUACAGUAACCCAUCAACACAACAUAUGAAAGACUAACUCACGGUGUUGGAAUCUACAACCCGAAGAUUCAUUUCAAUCUUGUAAGCAGCACUGGCAAUGGCAUGUGCAUCCGCACACUUCACCUUCACAGUGUCAAAGAAGGGAAGCCCCUGGACUUCCACUGUCCCCAGCUUUUUUAACCCAAGGGCGAAAGUCCCGGCUAGUCCAUGGACUCUUUGAGCAAUGGUUUUAAGGCCUUCAGGUCCGUGAUAAACAGCAUACAUAGCAGCCAUGUUUGCAAGUAAUGCCUACAUAGAUAAGUUUUAUUCAACCAAAGCAAAGUCAGUUCAUUGGGCAUGUUUUAUGGUGCAGAAAAUAUGAAUGCAUGUGUUUAUGACAAAAUUCUUGAGCUAGACAGGUUCUGCAGUCUUCAAACUUUCAAAAAAUUAGAAAGCAGUUUUUCAAUCUCUACACAGGCAGUCCUCCAAAGUAAAACAGAAACAGAACAGGAAUAACAAUAAUCUGUUACUUGAGCGGUGCAGAUGUUGCUGGUAGCCUUGUCCCUGCGGAUAUGCUGCUCCCUAGUCUGCAUUGCCACACGCAGGGCAGGCUUCCCUGAAGAAUCAAUACUAACACCAACAAUCCUCCCUGGCAUCAUCCUCUUGUACUCUUGAGAGGUAGCCAAAAAUGCUGCAUGAGGACCUCCAUAACCCAUUGGCACACCAAACCUCUGAGCAGAGCCCACAACAAUAUCAGCCCCCAGUUCACCUGGAGGCUUCAAAAUUGUCAAUGCCAACAAAUCCGUUGCCAUAACAACCUUAACUCCAUUAGCAUGAGCAUUCUUAAUGAAAUCCCCAUAAUCCAAAACUUCACCCUCAGUACCUGGAUACUGAACCAAAACCCCACAAACAUCACCUGACUUGUAAUCAAUAUCCUUAAGAUCCGAAACAACAACUUUAAUAUCAAAACCAUCAGCUCUAGUAAUACAAAUAUCAAUUGUCUGAGGGUGGCAGUUGCUAGCAAUAAUAAAAGUCUUCUUCUUUCCCUUCUGUAUGUUAUUGCACAUAGCCAUUGCCUCAGCAGCAGCAGUUCCCUCAUCAAGCAAUGAGGCGUUUGACAUAGGCAAUCCAGUAAGAUCUGCAAUCAUGGUCUGGAAAUUAAGCAAAGACUCAAGUCUCCCUUGAGCAAUCUCAGCCUGGUAUGGAGUGUACUGAGUGUACCAAGCUGGAUUCUCCAUAAUGUUCCUCAAAAUCACAGGGGGAACAUGAGUGUUAUAGUAUCCCAUGCCAAUAAAUGACUUAUAAACCUUAUUCAUUGAUGCUAGUUUCUGCAUAUGUUCAAUCAUUUGGCUCUCGGUUAACCCUUCAUCAAACUUAGAGAAUUUCAUUGAAUCAAUACGGAUAGAUUUAGGCACAGUAGCAUCAAUAAGUGAAUCGAGAUUAUCAAGACCAACUAACUCAGACAUUUUGGCUUGAUCCUCUGGGGUUGCAGAGUUAUGGCGACGAGCAAAAGUAUCACUUGGUUUUAAUGCCUCAACAGAAAUGCCUCGAGUCUGUGACCCGAUACCAUAACCAUUAACAUUAUGAUGAGACAUGUUCCUAGAUUGCAACAAAUCUGAUCUUGAAUUGUUGGAGCAAACAAAUGGUGCACAUGACAAUGAAGAGAGAUACCUUGAAGGUGUGUACGUAGCAGCAGCGGCAGCUGAUGAUUUUGAUUCACGGUGAUUGCGGGACAGCUGCUUGGACUCAUUAACCAGGCGUUUGAGAAAUGCCCGGCUGGCCAGCCGCCUUGCACGCUCCAUGAAUGAAGUGAGAUAGAGCUAAAACGGGCUCUUGAGUCUUGCCUCUUGCAAACUUCAAAAAAGGAAAUAACUUCACAAGAAGCAAGGCAAAGCAAGGCAAAUGGGGUUGUUGAGAAGAUAAAAAGAGUAGUUUUUCAAUAAAGUAAAUAUUUUUGUUACAUAAGAGUCAGUGGGGGUAGGGGGUUGGUGAUAAAUAAACUGAUGAUUCAUAUGCUGAUAAUUUUGUCUAUAUAAACAAUAUAUAUAGAGAGAGAGAGAGAGAAGAGAGGACAAUACUAUCUAUCUACAUACACACACAGACACACGUAUAUUUGUGCGUGUAUAUAUUAAUAAAAAAGAUUAAUUCUUUUAUGACUUCAAGAUCUGGUGAAUUUGGUGGGUGAUGACUGAGCAGCCACCUACGUAGAAAAGACACUUAGGAAGUUAUCAUAUCACAAUCUGCAGGAAGUUACAACUUUCUUACAAAUGUAUGGAAGAAAUUGAAUGCAAAGAGAUUGGAAUUCAAUGGAUCACAAUGCCGUUCGAUUUUUAUGGUGAUAUGAAUAUGAUGAUAUCCGAGAAAUAAUUUAAAUAAUUGAAUUUUUUUUUUUUUGGGGGGGUGGGAAAUAUGGGAUUCUUUGGUGGCUGAAUCUCUUUCACAAUCAAGUUAUCACUUUGCCUCACCUCAUGUUUAUAAAAACAAAAGUCUUUCAUUGGGUUAGGGUUUACAGCAGAUAAGUGAUAAAUCUCACUCAUUUUUCAGUUCAUGGGAACUUUCAAUGAGAAUUUUUUUCGUUUUUUUUCUUUUUUGGUUCGGUUGGGAUUUUUUGGUUUGUUGGUUUGGUGGGUCCUGAAAAUUGGGUGGAGGCUAAAAUUGGGAAAUUGCUGGAUCAUCGGAAAUCUAAUGUCUGUGGGCUCUUGUGUGGCCUGUGGCUGACAAUUUACGUCAUAAGUGGUUACCUAAAACAACUCGACAGAGUCCGAUUUCUCUGGCCAUUUAUACUGUUGUGUGGUGUAUCACACAGCCUUUUAAGUUUGAGAAGCAACGGCUGAGAUUUGACCACAGUAGUUACCGUCGUGAGAAAUUGGAAUCUUGAUGAUCAUUUCAUAGCAUCCAAGAACUGGACUCUUGACUCUUUCAUAAGUACUUGACUUGUGUCUUCUGAUGGAAAAAACAAAAAAAAAAAAAAAAAAGUGGGGAAAGAAAAAGUAGUUGCGGAGGGCAUUAUGUUACAUUUCGUCACAAAUAAAAAUAACACCAACAAUUCAAAAUAAAUUUCACAACCGAAUAACACUUAAACUUGUUAGUGCAGUACUUGUGAGUGGGUGUCUAAUUACAAAAGAUUGGGCACAAUGAUUUGACCAAUAAUCCGGACGAGAUGUUUUAACCAAUAAUUCAAGUAGAGUUGUGUUGUAAUAAAUGAUUUUUUUUUCUAUAUUAUAAUAUAAUUUACAAAUAUUUACCGUUAGAAACCUACAAAAAAAAUAAUAGUUUUUAAUUUUUUGUUAUAAAAAACGAACGUUUAAACCGAACUUAGGUCGAAUGUUGUUAUACAUUAGUAUAAGAUAUUAACAAAUACGAGUUAAUAUCACUUUUUUGAACUAUAAAAUUAAUCAAAACAGCAACACCAAUCAACAAACUCAAAUUUGUUUAGACCAAUUUCGUCACUUUAAAGGAAGAUUUCUCACUAUAAAAGGGACAAAUAAAAUAGUUUGAUCUGUAUGAUACAACGACAUUGUUAUGAGGUUGCACUUGACACGACAGUUUAAAACAACAAACGGAAAGUUAAAGAAGAAAAAUAUGAAAUAGAAGUAGAGAGCAUUAGAUAUAAUAAUUGGGCUACCUCUUCACUUCUUAUUAUAGUUGUAAUAGGUCAUUAAAGGCUUUGUAUAUCUUUCUUAUGUAGAGAAACCUCAUAUUUUUACUAAUUCAAUUUUGAAGUAAUUGCCCACUUUUUCUUAUUUAAUUUUAAUUAGUCAUCUAUAUGUCUCAUAAUUUAAUUCAGCUUGAAUAAUUUAUAUCACAUCUAAAUUUGAUUUAUUCAACUCUAAUUUUUAAUUAAAUCAAACACAAAGAAAAUUGCUCGUAUUUUCCGCUAAUGAGGGACAUUAGUAUUUUGAAAUACUAAUAAAAUUUCUAAUUCAAAAAAGUCUUAUCUUUCAUUAUAUGUUCAAAAGAGGACUUAAACCUUUGCAUAUAGAUAUAAAGAGAAAAAAAAAAAAAAAGCUUUUGAUAGACGAAAUGAAUGAUAUAUGAAGGGAAAAUUAUAUUUUUUUUUAGUUUUGAUAAUAAUCUUAGGUAGUUCACAAGUUUCACAUUUUACGUUUUGAAACUUCGCACCAAGCCACCAACCUCUUAUAGUCUUAGCCUGUGGGCGCUGGUUUUUUGUUUGCGUGGCAACAUAAAAGUUUGUUUGUCUUAUUUUAGCGCGAGGUUAGCAAAGGCAAUUGGCUGUAGGGAUGGCAAUGGGGAGGGGAGGGGAGGGGACCGAUCUCCCCGUACCCAUCCCCGAUAUUUUACGUAUGUCCCCAUCCCCUCCCCGUCCCCGUCAGAAUUACUUGAGAGAAUCCCCAUCCCCUCCCCGAAUAAUAACAGGGGAUCCCCGAGGAUCCCCGAUCCCCGAAUAACUAAUACAUUUUUUUUUCGAUUUUGAGUUAAUCAUAUUAAAAUAAAAAAUUCAAAUAAAAGUAAAGUUCGAAAUAUAUCUUACAUUAAUAUCUAUUACAAAAGUCACAUACAUUAAAUUAGUAAGUAACGCAACAUACAAGAGAUACAAACUUAUUUUACAAACUAUCAUGAACAAAUUAAUAGUCUAAUACAAAAUUGUUACAAAUAAAAUCAAAUUUAGAUUCAAAAUUAACUUUUUCAAUGGUGGCGUGGGCACUUUAUAAAUGUGGACUAUUCCCUUUACAACACAAUAGUUAAAUCGGAGCAAAUCAAAAGUAAAUAUUAGAUUAGAUUAGAUUAGAUAUUAAAAUUGUGAUUCGCUGUGGGCAAUUAUAACAUCUAAAAUUAAAUAAAAAAUAGAUUUAAGUUUAAAAUAUUUAAAGAAUAUCAAAAUUAAAAAAAAAUUUGGCUAAUAGAAUCUACUCAGUCUUUUUAAUGUCCUAAAUAAAAAUUUAGAACUUUAAUUAGCUAAUUAGGCCUAAAAGUUUAAUAAUAUAAAUAUUUUGAUAUUUUUUAUUUUUACCAAUAUUUAUAAUUUUAUAAUUUAAAUUUUAUAAUUUAUUUACUAGUAAUUUUAAAAAAUUAAAAUUAAAUUAAAAAUUAAAAUGGGGAAAUGGGUAGGGGAUGGGGAUUCCACCUCAUCCCCGUCCCCUCCCCGAAUAAGAAAUUGGGUAAAAAAAUUUCCCCGUCCCCUCCCCGAAUAAGAAAUUGGGUAUGAAAUUAUCCCCAUACCCUCCCCGAAUGGGGAAAAUCCCCGAGGGUACCCGUCCCCGUGGGGAUUUUUGCCAUCCCUAAUUGGCUGCUACGGGAGAUGGCUUUCCCCCCUCGAAAGUCUUAUCUAUUAUACGAAAAGGAAAAAGGCAAAAAAUAAUAAUAAUAAUAAUGAAAGUAGAAAAUAAACGCAUGAUGAUGGGGUAAACAUGGCGGCCUCGGACUUAAAUUAGAUAUUUUUAUAUUAUAGCUUCAAUUAAACUAAAAUCUGAAUUUUGUUGGAUCUACAACCAUACACGUGCGACGAAUUAGAAUUGUGUAAUAUCUAAGUUUUUACAGCUUUCAAAGAUCUGCGAAGUCAGGUGUCCAUUAAUAAUAAUGUGAUGGUGUGUUUACUUACUGGAUUGGAAAAUCAAAAUUCAGAAUCUGAAUGAUUGAUAGUGUUUACUUUGCAAAUAUGGAGCAUGAAUCGGAAUCGGAAUCGGAAUGGUAAGACCCACCACUAUUUGAGAAUGGGGAAUGAGAGAUUGAUUCCCUUGGGAGGUGGGAAUGAGUCUUUCAUUCUCGGGAUUGACCAUUUUACCCUUCCCAAAAUUAAAAAUGCUCACUUUGUCCUCUUUUAUAAUUAAUUAAUAUAAUAUUAUAAUUAAUUAAUUAAUAUAUUAUGAUUAAUUAAUAAAUAAAUAUAUUAUUAACUAUAAUUAUUAAAAAUUAUAGUUCUUGAAUAAAUUUAAUAUAUUAUUAUUAUACUUAAUUAAUUAAUUAUUACUAUUAAUUAAUAUAUUAACAUAUUAAUAAUAAUAAUUAUUAUUAUUUUUGAAUAAAUAAUCACAAUAAUUAAUUUAUUAGUAUUAUUAUUUUAAUUAAUUAAUUAAUGUACUAUUAUAAUAAUUAUUAAUAUAAUUAAUUUAUAUAUUAUUGUUAAUGAAUCAAUAUAAUUAUUACUAUUAAUUAAUAUAUUAUUAACAAUAAUAUAUUAAUAAUUAUUUUUCUUGAAUAAAUAAUCACAAUAAUUAAUAUUAAUAUUAUUAAUUAAUUAAUUAAUAUACUAUUAUAAUAAUUAUUAUAAUUAAUUCAUAUAGUAUUAUUAAUUAAAUAAUAUAUUUAUUACUAAUAAUUAAUAGAUUAUUAACAAUAAUUAUUAAUAAUUAUAUUUUUUGAAUAAAUAAUCACAAUAAUUAAUAUAUUAUUAUUGUAAUUAAUUAAUUAAUUAAUUAAUAUACUAUUAUAAUAAUUAUUAACAAUAAUUAUUAUAAUUAAUUCAUAUAUUAUAAUUAAUUAAUUAAAUUAAUAUUAUUAAAUAAAUAAUAUAAUAUAAUUAUUACUACUAAAUAAUAUAUUAAUAUAUUAUUAACAAUAAUUAUUAAUAAUUAUAUUUUUUGAAUAAAUAAUCACAAUAAUUAAUAUAUUAUUAUUGUAAUUAAUUAAUUAAUAUACUAUUAUAAUAAUUAUUGUUAAUAACAAUAAUUAUUAUAAUUAAUUCAUAUAUUAUUAUUAUUAAUUAAUUAAUAUUAUUAAAUAAAUAAUAUAAUUAUUACUACUAAUUAAUAUAUUAAUAUAUUAUUAACAAUAAUAAUUAUAUUUUUUGAAAAAUAAUCACAAUAAUUAAUAUAUUAUUAUUGUAAUUAAUUAAUUAAUAUACUAUUAUAAUAAUUAUUGUUAAUAAUUAUUAUAAUUAAUUCAUAUAUUAUUAUUAUUAAUUAAUUAAUUAAAUUAAUAUUAUUAAAUAAAUAAUAUAAUAUAAUUAUUACUACUAAUUAAUAUAUUAAUAUAUUAUUAACAAUAAUUAUAAUUUUUGAACAAAUAAUCACAAUAAUUAAUAUAUUAUUUUAAUUAAGUAAUUAAUAUUAAUAUUAUUAGUUAAUAUAUUUUUAUAAUAAUUUUUAUUAUAGUUAUUAUGAUUAAUUAAAAAAUUUUACAAUUAAUUAAUAUAUUAGUUAAUAGUAAUUAUAAUAAUAAUCCAUUAAGUACUUUUUAGUAAUUUGUUACAAUCUAAUUCAUUCCGAUUCCGAUUCCAAGAUAAAGUAAACACAUUAAUGGCAAUUCAGCUCAUUCCAAUUUCGAUUCAUGCAAUUCAAGUAAACAACUUAUUUUGAUUCUUAUUCCCUAUUCUCAUUCAAGUCCAUUCCCAUUCAUGUCCAUUCUGAUUCCAGCUCAUUCCGAUUCCAGUUUAGUAAACGCAGUAUGAGAUUAGAAUUUUACUCUUUAUGUCCCCUAUUUAGUAAUAACCAAUUAUCUACAUUGAAUUCUACUAAAAAAUUCACGUCAAAGAGAAAUUUGGUCCCUAAUCCCCGCAUGACAUGACAUAAGUUUAAUGGUUUUCUUGCUUUAGCAUGAGGUUGGUGAGGCAAAUAACUGUGUUAUGGAAUGAACAUUUUGACUGUGUUAUGGAAUUGAUAAAAACGUUGUGUGGAAAAAUUUCAGAUUUUUAAAAAAGGAGGGGAAAUAAUAAUAUUUAGAAAAAUAACCUUUGAUGUACAAGUUUAAUAUAUUCUAAUUCCUACAGCAAUCUUAUAAAGAAAAUUGAAAUUUUCAAAUUUGAUAGGUAAGGCGAAGGUAUGCUGGGGAGGCUGAACCGGAUCUUGCGAUACUCACCUAACACAUGAAUUAAAUUUCAAAGUUCUAGCUAAUUUGGAAAUUAAAUAUAGAGGCGGAUCAAGCCAUAUGGAGAUUGUAGACUAUCUUUGAAAUUAAAUAUUAUAAUGGAAACAUUUAUAGAGAAUCUUUUGUCGCAUAAACAUGGAAUCUUUUGUCUUUUGCAUAAAAAACUUCAUAUUAUUCACCAAUCACUAAUGACCUCAAAAUGUUUGAUGGCCGGUGUUAAUAAAUAUAGAACAACUGCCCAACACGCAUUUUCACUUAAAAAAUUAUACCAACUCCGCCAUUAAUUAAAAAGCUAGUGGGCUUUCUAGCCCACUGAUUCGCUAACCCGUGCGCACAAAUAUGGUGCUUGGUCUCGAGUCUCAAUCUCAUGUUGGGAUUCUUUUUACUUUCAAUUAUUAAUAAUAGUAAUAUUAUUAUUACUAUUACUAUUAUUAUGGUAAUAAUAUUUAUGGUAGAAACAUUUAUUCUAAAUUUUGUUUGUGAACAAAUAUAUAAUUGUAACUAAGGACAUUCUUAUUACAAUAAAAAAUAAAUACAUUAAUGGAAUACAGCUCGUUCCGAUCAAGAGUAUAUAUUAGUUAUUUUUGUAUUUCAUUUCAAUACGAAAUUAGUUGUGCUUCUGAGCUAUGAUCAAACAAUUCGAUAUUGCAAGGCUAAAUAAUCAUGAGUGACCGAUAGCGAAGUAGCAUUGUGAGGGAAGGGCGAAAAGAAACCCCAUCGAAGAGUGAAAUAGAACAUGAGAGCUUAAGCACCCAAGCAGUGUGAGGAGCUCGGUGCUCCAACCGCAUGCCUGUUGAAGAAUAAGCCAGUGACUUAUACGUAGCGCCUUCGUUAAAAAGAAACGAAAGAAUAAUAAGCAAUGACAUACCGAUUCUAAUUUUUUAUCAUUGUAAGAAGGGAAAUAAUCUUUCUUUAAUUGUUCCUUUCAAUAGAAUAAUAUGUAUUUUAUUUUCAAAUCAAAUCCAAAUAAAUUAUUCUUUCAAUGGUAUAGUUCGCACCAUUUUUGCAGUUCAGCAGUAUGGGUCAUUGGAACAAAAAAUGCCCAGUUGGUCCAUGCACCCUUAUCCAUAUCUAGCUACGGAUUAUGGUACAGAACUGCCAAUUGGGUGAUUCAUAUACAUUCUAUUUACUUUAAUUUUGAGUUUAGAAAAAACAUUAUUGAAUCUGAAGCCCAAGCCAAAAAAAAUGAUGCAUAAUUUGACAAAAGGCUUAUAUGCAUGGAUUGCUAUCCUUCUCUUUCGGAGAUAAUGUUCUUUUUGCAUUUUAAAGAUUUGUGAGCUUGAUCUUCCUGUUAAAUAUUUAAAUACAAUAUACAUGAUUACUUCCAUUGAAAAUUGUUUAGUCCAAUCUAAUAUACACAUAAAUUGCUUACUUUUAUACUUUUGAUUUUUCUAUUUUUAUAACUCAAGUAAAUAACUUAUUUUUAUUCUCAUUCUUCAUUUUAAUUUUAGUCCAUUUUGAUUUUAGCUCAUUCUGAUUCUAGCGAAUUAAAUGCACCAUUUUCCUAACCCAACUAAAUUACAUGAUUUUGUUAUAAUAUAUAUGCACUUAAAAUUACACUUCACAAAUAGGAUGAGAACCUUAUACAUAUAAAUAAAAAAAAUUGAUUAAGUGCGAACCUUAUACAUAUGGAGAGGCUCUGUGUUGUAGACCCCAGAGACCCUCAAUCAUGAUUUAUCGUGCAUGCUGUCGCACACUAAAUCAGUUCUCUAUAAACAAAAUUAAUAAAGUGAAUGAAUUUGUCUCGUAAACUAUAAAAACAUCAAAAUACAAAUAUACAUACCAUUUAUUCAUCUUAUAAUGGAACUGGAUUCAAAAGUUGUGCUAAAUUCACUCUGAAUUUUUAUAAAUAGACCUAUAAUGUAAAGAAUUGGAUAAAGAUCAUCUUGACUGAUACACUUCAAAAUUCAAAUGCAACCCAUAGGUAAAAAGGCAUUCGGCGUCCUCCAAAGCCCACCAAUUUGGCCAUUAAAACGCUGCGUUUAAUGACAGGAACCAAUUGACCAACUUAAUUUAACAAAUGAAAAUCCAAUUCAGAAAAAUAAAAUAAAAUUUGAGAUCUAGAGAAACUGUAAUCCACUUGAACUAGAUCGACCAUCUUUGUCUUUUCUCCAUAUAUAUAUAACGUUUUUGUAAAUUGCAGUAUUAGGCUGUGUGUUGUGUGUGAGAUAUAAAGAGAUUUAUGAUGGGGCUCUUGGCCUACAAACACAACCAUCAUGUGGCUCACUCGCAGCUGAUAGCUCCCUUAGUUAAUUAAGCAAGUGUAUCAUCGAAAAAUGACAAUGUCUUUAUCAAGACAUGGAUACAACGCUAUAAUCUAAUGACUCUUUGGUUCAUUCACAAAUCGCAUCAUGACUAGGAGUGACUCUUAGAUCUCACACGUAGCAUGUUUCUUCAUCUUUGAAAUUGUUGAUCAUUAUAUCUCAUCCUGGGCAUCUUAAGAAACAAAAUAAAUAUGCACAUUUAUCUUGUCAUAAUAAUAAUAAUAAUAUUAAAUACCUGUGAAUGUAAUCACGAGAUGGCAUAAAGCAUUCUCAUUGGAUGCUGCCAAGCAAGGAACGUUGUGCUUCACUUAUUUUACAUUCAGGUAUUUUGAGGUCAUUUAUCAGAUUUCAAUUUCAAUCUUUUUCUCUUUCAACAAUUAGGCAAAGCCUCUAACUUUCACAUAAUCUUAGGACAACAUUAUUUUGUGGACCGUAUUAAUUAUAAUUUAGAUAAUGAAGAUAAGCAAUCUCGUAGGCCAAUUAUACUCUUUUCUGCAUAUCGAUUCAGUUUGGAGAUAAAAAACCGCAAAAUAGCUCUAAUAAAUGAUAAAGUAAACGUACAGCCAUGAAUAAUUUUGUACAAACAAUAUUGUACAUUCUAAUGUGAUAUAUUAUUAUUCAUUAAAUUAAACAUAUGGUACCAAAUUAGAUUAAUACAUCUUGCCACACCAAUUUAUAUAAGAUUAUUCAUAAAACUAUUUGUGGCUGUAUAACGAUUCUAAGCAGACGAGUAUGGAAUUGUCUUCCCCAUAUAUGAAGCGAAAGCACAACGUAAUUUGAGUCAUACAUGAUAUGCUCAUACGUGGCUCCACUGAGACCUUUUAUUUCUGAUCCGUUGAUACUUGAUAGUUGGUCAAACAAAAUGACAGAUGAGAUCAUAAAUAAAAUGAAUCGACUUGUGGCUUAGAGUAUCUACUCUCUCAAGUAAUUUAACUGAGGGCAUGGUAAAUGGAAAAUGAGAAGAUCACAAGAAAAGUUGAUAGUAAAAGUUGUGGGGGACUAAAGAGGCUGUCACCGUCUCUUCCUGCUCAAGCAAUUGAUGUCUUUCUGCAAGACAAAGAGAACAACAUGCUCCCACCCCAUGCUUGAAAAUUAUUUAUACUCAUCUCUUUUCAUAUACAUGUUAUCUGCACAAUCCUCAGAAGACUGAAAUCCCCUCUCCAUUCUUCUAAAUAUCGUUCACGGCAGAAAUCAUCCGGUGCAUGUUAUGGCAAUGAAACAUAGAGUAUAUAUUUCUCUAAUGUGAGGGAGAAUUGUCCUCGUCGGCCGUUACUGAAUUAUAUAAGGUUUGAGCAAGGGCAAAUCCAAGAUCUUAUUAUAAAGUGGAUCAAACAAAAUUUUAGAAUAUAUAUAAUUGCGUGAGAAAAAAUAUACGGAAGUAUGAAAAUAUUUUUAAUGUUAACAAUGAGAGACAUUGUUGCAAUAAUCAGAGACUUAUUUAAUUGCACUUCUCUGAACUAAAAUUUAAUGGGAUUUUGGCAAGGAACUCGAAGGACAAGUAAUUUAAAGGCAUGUGAUGCGUAAGGCACAGCAAGUUAACAACUCAGAUGCAUCGAGAAACAAUGGGUUUAUUUGUGAUCGAGUUACUCGGAAACUGGUAUAUAAUACGAGAGAUAAGCUGACAUAAUAUAUUGGGAUACGUUUUGUGGUUACACUCCACAACUCCGUUUAGUUUGUCUUGUUUUUAUUUGGGCGGCUACAUGAAGUCGCGUGAAUGACUUUCAUCAGGCCUGCGCUUGCCCUUUUUCACCUUUUAUAAGACUGCACGACUGCUACUAUUUAGCUUCUUUUUCGCCCUCUCUUCGCUGGACAAACAGCUGCUGCUAUUUCUUUCUCUCUCUCUCGCCAUCCAUGGCUCCAAUGUAUUUGAACCCAGCACAGGACCACUCUGAUCCUUUUCGACUUGCGGAGGCGCAAAAACGUGAUCAUCAACGUUUGCAGGUAUUACACUCUUCAUCACAUAAUCGACCUGCUGCUUCUGUUUCUCGCCCUAUUUUUCUUAACUCAUCAACUCAAGAUCAAGGAAUGAUCAAAUUGGAAGGAUCACAGCAACAUGAUCAAAAGGCAAGAACAAUAAAUUCAAUUACUCGAAGCAAUUUAUUUUUCUUGUUUAAUUCUUUUGUUAUCUAUGCUUUCAUUAUUUUUUUUAAAAUUUUUUACUUAAACAAUUAUCUUAAUUUUCAUGAUCGUGUGCCUUUAUCUAUAGUGAUUCUUCAUCAGCAAUGUUAGUAAAUAUAAUCCAUCUGUUUAAUUAACUUUUCUCGGUAUCGUUCAUGCCCCGAUCAUAGCUGACAUAUAUUUAUAUAUAGCACAAAAUCGAAGUAUCUAUAUUCACAUAUAUAAAUUGAUGCGUAUGCUAGAUGAUAUGUUUAUUAAUUUGAUAUAUUAAUCUGUUUGAUCAGCCUUCAUUUAUUUGAUCUUUUUCAUUCUAAUAAGUACGUACAUAUGUGUACUUAGGCAUUUAGCUUUUGAUUUACGUAUUUUAUUUUUAUUUUUUGAAAAUAUAUAUAUUCCUUCAUCUCGAACCGAUUCUUGUAAGCCGAUUCUUGUUUUUAUUUCCUUGUAAUUAAUAUACGUGAUCUCUUAAAUAUAAAUAAUUAACUUGAUCUCAGAUUGAUCAGCGCAUAGCUGGCGGUGGAUCAAGCGAUCUUCAAUCUUCAAUGUCUCAACCUAAGACGAUGACCAAUAAACUGGCCAUUCGUAGAAGGGAAGUGGGAGAAGGAAGCACAAGCGACAACAGUUCAUAUACAUCAUCAUCAUCAGGCGAAUCUAUGUCCUCCAAAAUGAGGCUAGCGAAUAAAAUAAUCAACUCAUCAUCGGUUAGCACAGGAACCCAUGAUGAAUCAGUAAAAGUUGCAGAAAAGCUUCUGCAUGAGCAUGACAAUAUCGAAGUCCAUUAUUUUACUACGAACAGUAGUAACAGCAACAACACCGUUAGAAUCUGCUCAGACUGCAACACGACCACAACACCCCUUUGGAGAAGCGGUCCUCGUGGUCCCAAGGUUCGUUCAUUCGUUCAUUGUUCUUUCUUUGUCUUUUAUACUAUUUUUCUUGUUCAGAUUGAUUUCAGAAUUUCAUUUUAGUUUGGCUCUUCCAUAAUCUGUUAGGCCACUUCAUGUCUGUGUAUCAAUAAUAUAUACGAUGGUGCGCCCAUGAUCGUAACAUUAACCUAUAUUAAUUUUAUAUAUGUUGGUCCAGUCGCUGUGCAACGCUUGUGGCAUUCGGCAGAGGAAGGCGAGAAAGGCUAUGCAAGCAGCAGCUGAAAGUGGCACCACAACGGCCAAGGACAAUUCUUCAUUUUCGAAGAUUAAGUUGCAAAACAAUAUGGAAAAGAAACCGCGGACGAGCCAUGUGGCUCAGUACAAGAAAGUACAGUGCAACACUCCUGAUCCUGAUCCUCCUCACCAUGAGUAUCGGAGUCAAAGAAAGCUUUGUUUCAAAGAUUUUGCUUUAAGUUUGAGCAGUAAUUCUGCUCUUAAACAAGUGUUUCCACGGGAUGUUGAAGAAGCUGCCAUCCUGCUAAUGGAACUUUCUUGUGGUUUUAGUCAUACUUAGAUUUCAGUCAUUUGCUUUUCUUGAUUUAUUAACUAGGACUGGUUAUUAAUUCUUGUAGUUACGGACACAGUUUGUGUGCACCAGCUAAUUCCAUUAGUAAGAUUCUUGGAAUGGUGGUGUUAGGUAAUUUAAGGUUCAAAAAGUGCUUGCAUCAGGUAGCGACAGGGCGUUUGCACUUAUAUCUUAAGGGGAACGGUAUGCCAAAAAUGGUAACAAUAGGCUGGUUAUGCGUAUGGGCACUAGGAGUGGCCCAUUCAAAGUGGGUCUUAUAUAACAGAGAUACAGGCAGGCAACCUGGUAAAUCGGAUCUAGGCCUAAAACAUAAAACAUAUUUGACUCCAUUUACGUCUCUCAGUCGCCACCAUUUUUCAAUUAACCUGAAAUACUUUCAAAAUUAUCCUCACUAAAAUUUUAGAAAAAUAUUUAUUUUUUAACAUUGUCCCUUCUCUGUUAUCUACAAUCUCCCUCUCUCUCUCUCUCUCUCUCUCUUUGAAUCACCAUUAUACUCAUCUUCUGAAUUGCCGUGUUUCUAAUUUUUCUUAACCAACCCAAAUGAUUGCUUUAGUCAACUAGUUUAAUAUGGGCUUCUGCCUGUGACUUUUUAGACUGAAGCUGUGCUUUUUUGAGCUGAAAGUGGUUUUGUUUUGAUAUCUUGCUAAUUGGCUUCCGCUAAUUCACUUGUUCUCGUAAGAAUGUUUUUCCUUUGGUUCCUUAGACUUGAUGAUCUGCGUAUUUUUCCAUUAGAAUGUCAUUCAUUUCUUUUGACUAGCUUAAUCGAUUUGUUGUUCAAUAUCUGAUAAUGGAUUUGAUAAUGAUGAAAACCGACGAUUCCGAAUAGAGAAAGAGAAAAGGCAUAUGAGAUAGAAAAGAAAAAAUUAAAAACAAGUACUUGCCUCUUAAUUUUUAAUGGAGUAAUUUUGAAAAUAGAUAAGAUUAAUUAAAAUAUAAAAUUUUAAUGGGGUAAUUUUGAAAAUAGAUAAGAUUAAUUAAAAUAUAGCGGUUACUGAUUAAAAUUGAGGGGGUCAAAUAUCAACAACCCUCUAGUAAAUCGGGGGCUUAAAAAAUAAAAUACAUACUAGGAGAGAGAAAGAAUUUUGACACCCUUCAACAUUCCUUACAAAUCCUAUUUUCAAUUGAAAUUACUUACAUAACAAAAAACUAAUUAAUUAACUCCUUAUUUUAAAUGAAAAUUUAAUUAAACAAUUAAUUGAAAUUUUCUUUUAAUUUUUUUUUUCACCCACCCCAUUUCAUAAUUUAUAUCUAUAUUUUAAAUUUUAUUUGAGAAAAUAUUGAUUUUUGAGAAAAUUAUGAGAGUUUAAGAUUACAGAAAUAGAAACUAUUAAGAAGAAAAUAGUUUAAGAUUUUAAGAUUUUUAUGCAUUUUAUAUAAAAACUUAAAAUGUAAUUUUUUUAGAGGAAAUAGAAACUAUUAAGAAGAAAAUAGUUUAAGAUUUUAAGAUUUUUAUGCAUUUUAUAUAAAAACUUAAAAUGUAAUUUUUUUAGAGUAAAAUUUUAGGUAAGAUGAUUGAUUUUUAUAUAUGGCUACUAUUUUAUAAAUUUUAUAAUAAUUUUAGAGGGUUAAAAGCUUCACUCAUUAGUAGUACAAAUGCUCUACUGUUAUGUGAUGGACAGUAUUUUUUUGGGGGGGGUGGGGGAAAGAAUGACAAUUUUUACACGGAGUAAAACAGACCUUAUGAAAAAUUUAAGAAAGAGAUAAAGGAUGUAGAAAGAAAAAUAAUUAAAUAAAGAUUCAAUUAUUUCUUUUAUUAAGUUUAAUUAACUAAUAAAGUUUAGGUUAAAUUUAGAUAGACACGUGUAUAGCAAAAAGUGGCCAUAGAGGAUAACAAUUUUACUUUCAAGAUGAGCAAAUUGCGUUUAAUCGCAACUAAAUUGGCCAAAAUUAUAUUGUAAGCCACAUCGAGCUCGAAUAUAAUAAAGUUAUAGAAAAGCCUAAAAUGAACGUAAUAUUAGAACCACGACUAAUAUCAUAAUAAUAAUUUUGUCUAUUACGAAUUUCUCUUAACUAAGAAAAAAUGACUUCACACAAUAAAAUCUAAUGAUCGAACAAGAAUAAAUAUUUGAGUUUAUCCUAUCUUGAUACUUAUAGAUGCACCUUCGGUGAAAAUUUUUUGUUCAAAUCGAGAAAAGAAUAUUUAUCUAUACUGCACUCUAAGAUGAUGCUUGACAUAUGUUAACACUAUGAAAUAUAGCAACAUAUUAGCAAGUCCUCCCCCCCCCCCCCCCCCCCCCAAACCAUCGCAAUAACAGUAGGGUUUUCCAGAAAUUUUACCCUUAUCAUUACUUUUGUACAAAAUCGAAAGUCAUUUUAAUUAAUCCUUUGAAUCAUAGUGCAAACUGCAAAGUGGUUAAGUGUAGUUGCUAAAAAUCUUGGAUUUUGAUUUAGGACAUGAACGGUGUACACUUCAAAUGGGCAUAACUUUGGCUACCAAUGCUAGAUUUAGGCGAGUAAUUGUCUUGAAACUCUUAUUGGGACGAUAAUGCUAAUUUCUAUCAUAUAAUCUUCCUUAAAGUUUUGUCAUAAUACAUUAGUUUCAAGCUUGAGUUUGCUCUUAAAGAUUUUUUUGAGCAAAUUAAAAUCCUCUAAUAAUUUUAGCUGUCCUAAGUUUUUAAAUAUUUUAUGUCGUGUGUCUGUUAUUAGUAAUUUACAGGCAUUCAAACUACAUCACAAGAUAGACGAAGUUUUUACCAAAUUGUAAAACAAUUUCCAUUUUCUUUUCCAAUUAUAGAAGUUUGAUGUUCAAGAUGCUUAUCAACUAAUUAAAACCAAUAAAAGUACCUCACAAGCAUUAAACUCGCGAUUGAAAGUUUGAACCCCUAGAUUAGGUUUGAAUCAAAAGAUUUUAAAAGUGUUUAAACACUUUAGUUUGGCUAUGGAAGCACAUCCGCUGACACUAAUACCAAACCGAUCCUUUGAAAUAUUAUAGUAAGCGCAAGACAGCGGAGAAAUAAUAGAAGAGACAUAAUUAUUAUUAAUUGGAUUAUCGGGAGAUGAAACUCUUGUAAAGCAAACCCGCAUUUUGGUUUGCAACAUUCUGAUCAAAGAAAAGAUUCCUCUUUCUUAUCUCUCUAGACACGCUCACAUGCAUAUAAUUGAAAAGGCAAAAAUUCCUAAUUGAUAUGUCAAGAAAUGGAAAUCGUGAAAAUCUAACUGUGGAUAAAACCACAAGAUAGUUCCAUUAGCAGGAUAGCAGCCUCUUCCACGUCUUGCGGAAACACUUGUUUAAGAGCCGAAUUUUUGCUCAAAGCUAUUGCAAAAUCUUUGAAACAAAGCUUUCUUUGGCUCUGGUACUGAUGAGUAGGAUCAGGAUCAAGAGUCCUGUACUGUUUCUUGUUCUGAGACACAUGACUUGUGCGCGGUUUCUUAUCCUUGAUCUGCAACUUAAUCUUCGCAAAUGGAGAACCGCCGGUAGCCGCAAUCGUGCCAGUUUCAACUGCUGCGGCUGCUUGCAUAGCCCUUCUUGCCUUCCUCUGCCGAAUACCACACGCGUUGCAUAGCGACUGCACCAACAUGUAUAUAAUAUAUAUAUUGAUGUUACUUUCAUGCACUAUCAUAUUAUUGGUAUACAGACAUGAAGAGUUUGUAGAUUAAGGCCAAUGAAGUGGCCUAACAGAUUAUUGAAGGGUCAAAAGGGCGUUCUAGAAUCUCAAUAACAAUGUCCAAAGCUGGAAAAAAGACAGUACUGGGAGAAUGGGGAGAAUCAAUCAAACAGUACUAAUGAAUGAACCUUGGGACCACGAGGACCGCUUCUCCAAAGAGGUGUUGUGGUUGUGUUGCAAUCUGAGCAGGCUCUCAUGGUGUUGUUGCUGUUGCUGCUAUUAAAAGAAUUGACUUCGCUAUUGUCAUGCAGCUGAUGAUAUUGAAGUUUUUGAGUUACUUUUACUGCUAAUUCAUGGGUUGCUGUGCUAUUCGAUGAUGAGUUGAUCAUUUUAUGCAUUAGCCUUAUCUUGGAGGACAUCCAUUUGCCCGAUGAUGAUGAACCGUUUUCGCUUGUAGUUCCUUCUCCCACUUCCCUUUUACGAAUGGGAAGUUUGUUAUUUGUUAUAUUAUUCAUCUUCUUUGUUUGAAUUGAAGAAGAUGAAAAUACUUGAAGAUUGCUUGAUCCACUAUGAUCAACCUGAGAUCAAGUUAUUAAGAGAUUGUGUAUUAAUUAGACUGAAAAAACAACUUAUUAACACAUGCCACACAUAAAAGAACAUAUAAAAGAAAUAAUCACUUCCUGAUCAUGGAAAUAUGGAAACAAAAUCAAAAGCUAAUUAUACUUAUGAAUUUGCAAUGAACGAUCAGAUUAAUAAAGGCUGAUCAGAGAUCAUAAACAGGUAUAUUAUGACGAUAUAUAAUCAUUUAACACACACACACACACACACACACACACCGAUCAUGUGCAAUAUAUACCAGCUAUGAUCAUGGCAUAAUGGAUAUCGAGAAAUCAAACAGCUGGAUAAUUGUUAAUAAAUACUAACAAUUCUUGGAUUUUCAAUGAUUAACGGAUCAACUAAAGAUGAAGGCACAAGAUCAAAAUUAAGAUAUUAUAUAAAAGCACAUACAAAAGAAUUUAACCAGAAAACUGAAAUAAUAUACUUUUGAGUAAAUUAAUAAAUCACGUACUCUUGCCUUUUGAUCGUGUUGUUGUGAUUCUUCCAUUAUAAUCAUUCUUUGGUCUUGAAAAUUAGUCCAAGAUACAGAAGAAGAAGCAGCUCGAUUAUGUGAUGAAGAGUGUAAAAGGUGCAAAUGUUGAUCAUCUUUUUGCUCCUCCGCAAGUUGAAAAGGAUCAGAGUCAUGCGGUGGGUUCAAAUGCACUGGAGUCAUGAAUGGCGAGAGAGAGAUGGCCGUUGUUGUUUGUCCAGCAAAGAUGGGGCAAUAUGGGAGCUAGGGAUAGGGCAAAAGAGAAGCUAAAUGGUAGCAGUAAAGGAAAAGGGUAAGAAAGAGGUCUGAAAGACAUUCACGUGACUUCAUGUAAUAGCCCAAAUAAAACAAGUAAGACAAGACAAACUAAAAGGAGGUGCAGAAUGCUACUACUCAACCUCCGUAUGACAAAAACACCCCUAUCUGCAGUGCCCUAUAUUAUUUUACCUCUCAUAUUACACCGGUUUCCGAGUAAUUUCAUCACAUAUCAAUUCUUUUGUUUCUUGAUGCAUUUAAGUUGUUGUGCCCUACUCAUCACAUGCCUCUAUUUGUCCUUUGAGUUACAGAUCAAAAGCCCAUUAAAUGCGCUCCAAAGUUUUACCUCAAAAUAUUAGUGAGCAAUUCUUCUGUAUGUUGCACAUACAACUAAUCAAUAGAAUGACAGUAUCUGUACAUUUCUUAGUUUUGUGUAUAUAUUUUGAUAAAUUCUAUUGGCUGAUGGCACGUUCGUGAGUACGAAAGUUUUCCCAGAAUUAAAUAUAGUACGGCAUGUAGUUAAGAUAGUAAGAGAGCUACGCUUCUUGCUUGUUCGCUGGCAUAAAUAAGAUAAUUCAUAUACCAUGCAUGAAAGAUGUUUAGAAAAAUGGAGAGGGAUUUCAAUCUUCAGAGGAGAGAUGGGUGUAGAUCAUUUGCAUGCAGGGGAUCAUGGUGUGCUUAUUAUAGUCUUUUCCAAAACACAUCGAUUGCUUGAGCGCAGGAUAGGGGCAGUGACAGAUUAGUCCCCACAACUUUUGAAUCAACCCCUUGAAUUCCCUUUUACCGAUUACUGUACCCUCGAUCGCAAAAUAAACAGUAAGCCAUAUGUCACUUUCAUUUCUAUGAUCUGUCAUUUUGAUUUCUCCCCCUUUGUUUUGCCCAGAGAUAAGAUCAAGUGACAAAAUAACAACAGAAAAUAAAAGGUCUCCAUGGAGCCACGUAUAUAUUUGUGUAUUAAUGACAUAAUUAUGGUCAUGCUUUCGCUUCAUAUAUGUGGAACAGGUUCCUACACAAGCUAGCUAGCAGCUUGAUCAAUAUUUUAAUUUCAAGUUUAUAUAACCUUGUCUCCUAUGUUUUUCAAACUCAGUUUACUGCCUAGCUCACAUGGCGAAGCAAUGAUUACUUGAUAUGCAGAAAAUCGAUAAUUUGCUGUAUUCUUUUAGUAGUUUGCUCACAAGACUGCACCGUUACUGCCCUGUUUUUGUUAUUUCUUCUUAUUAUAUACUCCAAAAUAAUAAUAACAACACCGAAUAAAUACAUAUUUUUGGGCUCACCAAAAUAGCUCACAAUCAGAUAAAAAAUCGUUAAGACCUCCGAGGUUUGAUUAAAUUUAUACUUAUAUUGGCUUCAAAAUGGUUAAACAAAUCUCUUUUUGGGUGAGAUUUUUUUUUUUUGACAAAUAUUCUUAGGCUUUGCGCAAUCAUUUCUAAAACUAAAAGAUUUACAUAUAUAAGUACAUUUAAGCAAUUUCAAGCAAAUCUUAAAGGUUUUGGCCGCUUCCUCUCCCCCACAUCCACCAUCAAUCAUUUAUAUAUAUAAUCCUAAUAUGCAUAGAUGUGCUCUUUAGAAUGAAAGUUAUGCCAAAUAAUUGAAAAGGUCAAAUAUUUGAAAUCUUAACCUCAGAAUGCUAAAUAAUUAAUAAGUGAAUCACAAUAAUACUAGUACUCCUUGCAUUGGCACCAACCUACGAGAUUGCUUCGUGUGCCAUGAUCGUACUGAUACCAAAUUCAUUAAUAUUUAUAUUGACAAGAUAAAUGUACAUAUUUUUUCAAAACGGCUAGGACGAUCAACAAUUUCUAAGAUGAAGAAACAUGCAACGUGUAAGAUCUAAGAGUCAUUCCCAGUGAUGCUAUUUGAGCUAAGAUUAGAUUAUGACGCAUUUCUUGAUAGAGACAUUGUCAUUUGUCUAUGAUUUGCUUGCUUAACUAAGAAGGCCAUGCGAUUGAGCUAGACGGUACUGUCUUUGUUUGGCCAAAGUCUCCAUCAUAAUAUGCUGUCUCUCGCUGGAUCUCAUGCGCGCACCCCAAAUUGACUGUACUAUCUCUCUUUACGAGACAAAGAUUCUCUCCUAAUUUAAUUAUAUUUAAACAUAAGGAAUUAUUAUCUUACAUAAUCAUGUAAGAUACAUGAUUCUUCCACAGCAGUUUGAUAAAAAUUUAACGGUGGUAAAAAUAUAAGAUAAUAAAAUCAUAUUAUUUCCAGUUGGAUUUUUAUCCAACGGCUGUGAAAGAAUCAUGUAUCUUACGUGAUCAUGUAAGAUAACAAAAACCUUAAACAUAAUCUGAGGUAGUGGAACAAGGUAAAUUAUUUUUUAAAUACAAAGGAGUGAGUGGGUGCUGUCAAAAUCAGGGGACGGCCUUAUAGUAAAAGCAAAUAUCAAGCAUAAUGGAUUCCCUCUACAUGUGUAAUCACACACCGUGAUUUAGAGAUUUUUAUAUAUGAAAUAAAAUCAAUUAAGGUAAAAUUUGUGAGUAUUCAGUCAAUAGCAUUACGCAAAGCUUAAUCUAUACCAACAUAUUGAAAAAUAAAUAAAAAAAUAGUUGUAGCCCAGUUGAGCUCCUUCCAAACAUCCCCAGUAGCAGAAACAAAUUGCCGGGUACAUCAAAGUUUUGGUUAUAAUUUAGAAAGGGUAAAGUUCGAUUCAUCCUUCAAAUAAAAUGAUAAUCUUCAAUUUAUUCUCUAUAAAUAAAGGGUGCAUUGAUGAAUGUUUUAUUUGUCUUCUCAUCAGUAAAUAGGGAAUAAAUUAUUAUUUUUACAUCUUUUAGAGUAAAUUGAAGAUUACAAUUCUAAGUAGGGAAUAAAUUGAACUCCAUUUAAAAAAUGAAAUAAAUUAAUAAUCUACACAAUCGAUCAAUUAUAUCAAUUUUAAUUCUAAUCUUAUCACUGACGUCUCUUGACCUUCUCCAAUACUAAGGUUUCCUUAAUAGAAAAUUAAGUGAACUAGUUUACCAAUGUAAUGUAUAAGGAUUAAAUUACCCAUAAAAUAUUUGUGAUUUUAUGAAAAUUUUUAAAAUUCUAAAAGGCUUAAUUGUAUCACGUUAUAUCUAUAUAAUUAUUACACACCAAUUAACCUAAAAAAUACAUAUUUUUGAUAAUGAUAUCUCAUGAAAUAUAAUAUAUUGUUGAAAGCUUUUCAGUUUCAUUUAAAAAAAUAUACUUAUUAUUCGUCAUAAUUAAAUAAUUAAAUAAUUAAAUGAUUAUGAUACAAUAAUACACAUUUUUGUGAGUAAUUUGGUUAUUUUAUGUUAUAAGGUUAAAUUAGUUAAAUUAAAUUUAUUUUAAGACAACCUUAGCUGUCAAUAAGAUCAAAUCAACAAAUAGUAUAAAUGACCCAAAAAGGGGGAAAAAACAUGAUUUUUCUGUAACUUUCUUUAUAUAUAUAGGGUCCGCCUUAGUUACAUUUAACGUAACUUACUGCUGACCCGCAAAAUAUCAAUUUGCCCUCUAUACUCUAUAUUAUUUAUAAUUUAUUCAUAAGUAUUAUAAAAUUUUUUGUAUUGUAAAAUUUAGUUGAGCCCUUUGUACUAUAUUUUAUUUUAUUGAAACCCUUAGAGUACCAAUUCGCCCCCCUAUAAUUUUAAAUUUUCAAAAUACCCUCCAUUUAAUUAAAAAAUAUAAUAAUUAUUAAAUAGAUUAUAAUGAUAAUUAUAAUAAUUAUUUUAUUAUAAAUAUAAUUAUAAUUUUUAAAUGGAUUAUUAUUAUUAUUAACAACAACAAGAAUAAAAAGUAUUAUAAUUAAUUAAUCUAUUAACAACAAUUAAUAAUAAUUUUUAGUUAAAAUGUCAAUACUAAUUAACAAUAAUUACUAUUAAUAAUUAAUUUUUGAAUAAUAAUAACAAUAACAAUAAUUAAAAUACAAAAUAAUAAUUAUAAUAAAAUUAAUUAAAGAUUUUAUAGUAAUUUAUUACAAUUUAACUCAUUCCGAUAUUUAUUCUAAGAGAAAGUAAACAUAUAAAUGGUAAUACAGUUCAUUCUCAUUAUGAUUCAUGCAAUUCAAGUAAAUAAAUUAUUUUGAUCCAAUUCUUCAUUUUAAUUCUAGCUAUUCCAAUUUAUUUUUACUAAAUGUACUAUAAAAUUGUAAAUCACUUUAUAUUCAAUUAGACCACUCUAUAUUAUUUACAAUUUUUUAUAAGUAUUAUGAAUUUUAUAGUGCAUUCACUAAACAUAAAUCAAAAUUAACUGAAAACAUAAUGAGUUAGAAUCGAAAUAUCUAGAAUCUAAAUGAGGAAUUAGAAUCAAAAUAAUUUAUUUACUUGAACGGCAAGAAUUAUAAUUAGAAUGAGUUGUAUUACUAUUUAUGUGUUUGUUUUGUCUUAAAAUUAAAAUUAGAAUAAAUUAAAUUGUAAAAAAUUAGUAUAAAAUCUUUCAUUAAUUUUUAUCAUAAUUAUUAUUUUGUAUUUUAAUUAUUGUUAUUGUUAUUCUAAUUAUUAUUCAAAAAUUAAUUAUUAAUAGUAAUUAUUGUUAAUUAUUAUUAUUGUUAACAUUUUAACUAAAAAAUUAAUAGAUUAAUUAAUUAUAAUACUUUUUAUUCUCGUUAAUAAUAAUAAUAAUAGUAAUCCAUUUAAAAAUAAUAAUUAUUAUUAUUAUUAUUAUAUUUUUUAAUUAAAUGUAAGGUAUUUUGGAAAUUUAAAAUUAUGGGGAAUAAAUUAGUACUCUAAAAAUUUUAUUAAAAUAAAAUAGAGUAUAAGGAGCUCAACAAAAUUUUACAAUACAAAAAACUUUUAUCAUAUUUAUAAAUAAUAUAGAGUAUAGAGGGCUGAAUGAUAUUUUGUGAGUCAGCCGUAAGUUACAUUAAAUGUAACUUAGGCGACCAUAUAUAUAUACACACCCUCAAAGUAGAGAUGGAUAAUGAGCUAGGAGGCCAUGGCCCAGCUCCUGAAAUUGAGGCCCAUAUGUACUCGUGGCCCAGCAUGGCACGACCUACUUGACAAGUGUGCCUUACCGUGCCCAGCACAACUGACCAAGACACGACCCAACACGGCCAAUAGGCCCGAUGCCUGGUCCAUAGCCAACCCUUAUGGGCUUCUCAAGUAAAAAGAAAACACAAUAAUUUUUAAAUUUGGAGUAGUGAUAUUUGACUCUUUAAUAUAUCUCACUAGUCCCUUUUUCAAUUAACCCAUUAAAAAGUUUAAACUAAUUUUUAUAUUUCAACACAACCCAUCAAAUCCCAAAUUUACUCUUAUUAUAGCUUUUAUCUUUUUUCCAAGCACCACCAUAUAAAAUUUAUAAAAUCUAUUUUGAAAAAAAAAACUCCCAUAAUCAUUGUAAUCUCUUUCUUUCUUUUUAAAAGUUGUCUAUUGUUGUUAUAACAACAAAUAAAAAAAAAAAGAUUGGAUACUUUUUCAUCAUCCUCUAUUUAGUAUUAUAAAUUAAUUUCUUCCAUAAUUACAAAAGUAGAGUAUGCAAUAUUUGAGAAUAGAUAAUAAUUUAAAAAGUUAAAAGAAUUAGAAAAUAUUAAUAGAAAUCAUCAUGUGAGUACACUUAAAAGCUAUUUAUCCUUUUAAGUCAUUUCAUAUAAAAAUAAAACAAGUAUUAGCAUAAAGUGAUUAGUGAGGGUUGGUGAGAUAUAACGAAUUGGUCAAAUAUCACAACUCUAAAUUAGCCUUUCAAGGACCACCACUUUUACCAUUAAGCCACAUAAAUCUAAUAAGAAUUUGGUGAAAAUAAUUAUACAUAACUGAAAAAAUAAUAAUAUUUUUCAUAUAUUAACAACUUUUAUGAAACAAAAUAGAAUUAAAAAGAAAACACAACAACGAUAAUAAUAGAAAAAUAUUAUAAUAAUGAUUAAUAAUAAAAUUUUAUUUCAUUUGCCUUGUGAUAAACAUUAUUAGAUUUAAAGUUGUUGAAUGCAAUUAUAGUAGAGCAAUAUUUUGUAUUAUAAAAUCAAGUUAAUAAAUUUGAAGGACAACAACAAAUUUCAACUAAAUUUAAUCGAAUAAUGAACAGUUAACAAAAAGUAACUUUAUGCUUAGCAAUAUAACUAUUAAAUCCAAGUGAUUAAUAAGUAAUUUUAUAAGUUAUGAAAUAGAUUAUUCAGUGGAUAAACGUCACAACUGCACUUGAGAUAUAAAUAUUUAGAUAUUAGUUAUGUCAUAGAGUUUUAUUCAAAAAAAUUACACAUAGGACAUUAGUCGAUAACUAAAUUUUUAUUCAAUUGAAAAAUAGAAAAAUGCAAAUGGAUUAGGGAUGGUAAUGGGGUGGGGUGGGUGUGGGGAGACCUACACCAUUCCCCACAACUUUUAAAAAUUUCCCUUCCAUUCCCCACCCUAGCCCCCAGCAAAUUUAGUGGAGUGGGAAUGGAAAAUCUCAUGUGGAGAAUGAUUUCUCCAUCCCCACCCCAUUCUCCAUGUACUUAUUUUAUAAUAGAUAUAGAUAAAUGAUUUUAGUAAAUUAAAGAUUAAAGACUUAAGUAAAAUCAUUACCAUAUUAUAAAAGUAUUUAAAUUAUUUUUAAAACAAUAUCUUCAAAUAAUAUAUUAAAACCAAAAUAUGUUUGAAGAGAGCAAUACCAUGAGAGAAAAGAAAACAUAAUAAUAUUUUAGGAUUAAAUAAGAAUUAUAAUGUAGCGUUUUCUUUUAGUUAUAAUUUAUGUAUAUUUGGUAAAAAUAAAAAGAAAAUUUAUUAACCAACAUUGUAAUUGACAAAGCAAAAAUUAUUGAAACAAAACUAAAAAAUAUCCAUAUAUAAUGGGGAGUGGGGUGGGGAGUACAAAACUAAACCCAACCUAAUUAAGAAUUUGAGAAUUAUUUUUCCCUAUUCCUCAUCUCAUUCUCCAAAAAUUAUUUAAAAUUCACUACAUUUGGGGUGGAGCCCCAUGCCCACGGAGGAUUUUGCCAUCCUUAAAAUGGAUUGAAAGUCAUUAAAUUCAAUUACUUUAAAAGAACAUAUUGUAUGUAUAGAAACUUGAUACAACUAAUUCGUGAAUUAAAUUGAAAUGUGACAAAUGUUACUUAUUGGAUUGACAAGUUAUUGAAUUAAAUAACAUUAAAACAAUAUGUUGUAAUAUAAUUCAAUUAUAAUUAAAGCAUUGUAUCAUAUUUGAAGUUUAACAAUGAAUCAAUUUAAUUUUAAUAUGAUGCGAACAAAUUUACAAAAAUAUAUCUAAAAAAUAAAAAUAAAUUAAAACAACUCCCGUGCCUAAUUGGUUGGCCCAUUUUACCGCGUGCCCGUGUUGUGCCCAGUCUAUGGGCCAAAAACAUCAGCUCAGCCUAGGCCAUCAAUGGGCUAUGCCAUGGCCAUGUGCCUUACCGUAGCGGGUCAUGCCUUGCCACGCCAGUGGGCCCGAUGGGCUAGUCGAAUGGCUCACGUUUCAAUUGAAAAGCCACCAACUAGGGAAGAGCAUCAUUUUUGUUAGAGUGCAGCUUUUAACACACCCUCUAAGUCUCUAACAUUCUUAUAAUACCCCUUUUGGAUGUUAUUCUCUUGAACACCUUCAAUGUAAUUGAUAGAAUACAAGUUUAUAUAUUAAAAUUAUCCAUCUUCCCAUAAAAUGUUUACCCAUAAGAAAAUUAUUUAUUUUUAAAUUGCAUAUAAAUCCUAAAAUAGUAAGUUUAUCUUAAAUAUUUUACUUGUUAUAAUCUAAUUUCAUCUCCAAAACUCUAGACUCUUGUAGUUUUCUCAGCAAAAAAAAAAAAAAAAAAAAAAAUCGAUUAAAAAUUAAUAAUAAUAAAUUAUGAAAUGAGGUGGGUGUAAAAGGCUUGUUAAACAAAAAAUUUAUCUAAUUGUUUAAUUGAAUUUCUAGUCAAAACAAAAAAUAAAUUAAUUUGUAUUAGGUUAUUUCAGUAAUUUUAAUUUAAAAAAAAAUGAAGAGGAACUUUAAGGGGUGUCAAAAUGCUACUCUUUUAUUAGGAAAGACUAGGGAUUGGGCCUUCUAGGAGCACCUAUUAUUAAGUCUCAUUGCACGUACAUUUCGGGGAGCAAAUUUCUUUUAUUUUCUCUCUCAUUUUGGGAAAGAAAAUAAAAUUACCCUCUCACAUUCCAUUAACAUACGCAUAUAAACCCCUUACCUAAUGAUCCAUAAAAGGGGAGAUGAUGAUUAAUGAGUGUAAACACAAAAUUUUAUUUUUAUUUUUAUUACUUUAAGGUUUUUUUAUUAGUUUUAACACUAAACUUUAUAUAGGUGCAUAUUGAGAAGAAAGUUUGGAGAACCACAUUAUCCUUUUUUUUUCUUUUGAAAUGGGGAGAAAAACGUUACUAAUUACUAAAAAUUGAAAAUUAUGUGUAACAAUGGUUGGUGAGCAUUAAGCAAUGCUGUCUUUAGGCGUAAAGAUGACAAAUGGUGAAUGCAUAAAAUGUAGGGACUUUCUUAUCUUAUCUUAGAAGCCCUAAUUCUAGCACAAUAAAAAUCUUAUUGGUAAUGUCACCGAAGACAUAAUAGAGUGGAUCAAAUUAAUCUCCAAAUUCAGCAAUUUAAGUAAAAAUUCAUAUUGUAGGUUGCGAUGGCACUUUUCCUUUUGAUGUAUGCAUUGUUCUUUAUCAAAUGUAAAUUAGUAUAAGAAUUUGUGUGUGUGUGUGUGGUCUUUCUCUAGUAUGGGUGUACAUAGAGUUAAGAUUUUAACUCUUUUAAACUAUAUAGUUUUAUAGUUCAUUUACAAAUAAGUUUAUUAAACUCUACGAUUUAAAAAUGAUGUAUAUACACACACUUCUAUUUUUAAUAUUUUUAUAAGAAGAAUUGGUAUUUUCAAUACUGUUGAAAGCACCAGUUAAUAUUACUACAAACCCAACGGCGCAAAACGACUUUAAUCCUGUAGCAGUUUAAACAUUAAUUAAGAAUUUGAAAAAAAGAAGAAGAAACAUCGUUUGUGGCUCAUUCACAGUUUAAUUAACACAGCAUACCCAAUAAAUAGCUUAUUUCUAGUCUUCACUUCUCAUCAGAAAACUGGGCAUUUAAUAUUACAAUUAUGCAUCAUUUAUUGGUCCAAUAACACAAGUUUCAAUCAACCUCCUAGGUAGCAGACGCUUCACAUUGUAGUACCCAUAUCUAUCCAACACAGGCCUGGCUAUAGGAGCCUCUUGUUGACAUCAAUAAUUGAGUUCGGGCAGCAACAAUUACUAAUUUACUAUUACUAUCAUUUUUCUUUUGUUGCUUUUUGGAAGUCUGAACGUGGCUCUUGCCUCUGGUCCUGUAGCCCCAUAAAUUUCAUGAGGCAGAAGCCAAGAGCCCACUGGCUGCAUCUGUCAGGUGGGUGAGUGUGUUUACUUGGUGAUGUGGUCACGUCUCUCAUAGCUUCUUAGGCACAAAUUAGGUGGAUGGGCAUAUAGUGAGCAGUAUUGAGUAGCCGUGGGGUAGGUGCUAUAGUAAACCAAUACUAUCAAUUACCUCAUUAGUUCUAUUUAAAAAAAAGAAAGGGAAAAAAAUCUCUUAGAAACGUAAACAUAUUAGCCGCGGCCUAAACUUUAUUUCAAUUAUAUGUUUCUCUUGCUGUAAUUUCAAGCAUAUCUUUUGAUUUAUACCCUAUAUCUUUAGUCAAAUGAAAUUGUCAGUUUUCUAUCUAUCAAAAUCAAGAUAUAGUAUUUAUUUCCUAUUAUUUUCAUAAUAGUUAAUAAUCCUAUUGACAAUAUAAUUUGAAAGUACUUUCAAAUGCACUUUUAUUCAUAUUUACUAAAAAUUAAAUAGAUCAUAUAAAUAGAAAUUAAAAUAAAAAUUUGAUACUAAAUAUAAGAAAUAUAUAUAUAUUUUGGCAUGAAUAAAAAAUUAAUGAUAAUAUAUUUUUUAGUACUUUUUUGUUUUUUUAAACAUUUUUCUUAUAGUAAGUAUAUAUUUAAUAUUCCUUGGAUAAAUUAUUAAGUAAAUUACUCAUUUAGCCCUCUUUUCCUUUAAAUUUUUUGGUGUUAUGGAGAUUUUUAGAUAUUAUAAAAAUAAUAAGAAGAUAGUUGAUAUAUAGUAUAGGAUAAAUUGAUCAUCUCCCUUUAUCAAAUAAACAACUUGCAAAAUAUGUAUUUAUGUGGAAGUUGUUAAUUUUAUUUAGAAAUAUUUUUAUUUAGAAAGUCAUUACAAGAUGUUUUACAAACUAAAUUAUCUAGCGCCCUCUAUGCAGUAGUUAUUUUAUAAAAAGAGUUUAAAAAAACAAUAAAAUACUGUCUUCAAUAUAAUCUUUUUUUUACCACUUCAUAAUUUGUAAUAUUUUAAUUUUAAUUAUACCAUUUCAAAUAGAGGAAACAAAUUAUUACGAGGAACUUAGAUUUAGAUUCAGCACUAAGUGAAGCUUCCUGACGAGUUGUUUUAAUAUAAUGAUUGAUAAUUAUUGGAUAAACAAUCAUAUACAAUAUUAAAUCUUAAUCAUACACUACUAUAAAUACAUGCAUAAAAAAAAGAUCAUAAAAAAAAAAUUAAUAUAACUCAACUCACCACUAGAUUCAUAUUUAAGGAAUUUAGAUUCAAUGCCUUGAAUUUGGAUUUAGUGUUCAUCUUUUAAUAAUCUUUUGGCACCCGUACAUUUAUAACUAUAUAUGAUUAAAAUUUGAUUACUUUCUCAAAGAUUAGCACAAAAAUUAAAUGAGCUAGCGCUCAAUCAAAAUCUCUUGUAAGAUAACUGUUCAUUUACAAGCUGUUUAGAUCAAUCAACUACAAAGGGGUAUUUUUUUUUUCUUUUUCUUUUUUGAAAAAAAUUCAUCUUGUUUCUUUGUUGGGUGAAUAAUGGACUUUAAAAAGAAGACCAAACCCUACUGAAGUUGAGAAUACAACUUUGUGAGGAGGAGUGGGUCAAAAAUUGGAUAUAAUUAUUAAACCAACAAUAUAGCUGGCAUGUCAUCGGUUUUUUUCUUGUUUUAUCAAGUAAAUUGAUCUGACACCUUGCAAUAAUAGUGCUUAGCUUACCUUAAUUUAGAAAUUUAGACUCGCAUUUUCAGGUCCGGUCAUUUAAUUACUCGCUAGCUAGACGACGCUCAUGUCUUCGUUGGAACUCACUACUGUACUGCAUGCUUUUCCAUUUUCAGCAUUAAGGUUUUGUUUGAUUUCAAAGAAUCAGAACCAGAUUAAGAUUUAGAGCCCUUGAAACCGGAGCCAAAAUCUGUACUCUGUUAUACUAUCCACCAGUUCUCCCACUGCCACCUUUCUCUUAUUGAUUAAUGUCAAUUUCCUGUAUUUCUUUUUUUUUUUACGAAAUGUUUGGGUGUUUCAUCAUUUUCUCAUCUUUAAUAUAAUUGUGUUUCACUUUGAAACUGAAGGCAAUUUUACCAACAACAAUUCAUGGCAUCAUGAACUUCACAUGCAUGAACUGUCCGUAAAUUCCAGGGCCAGUGCUUACUGCUUAUUGCUGAUUGCUUAAGGCUUAUUUAGCGCAAAACAAAAAUAAGAUUAACUACAUAUGUGUUUGUAUUUUCAUCAGAGAAGAGGGUGCAGAGUAACUACGAUGACAGAGAAACAAAAAGAAACAUUUAAAAAAAAAAACACUUAAAGCUAAAAACAUAGAGCCAAACAAACAGCUCCUAGGAACCUACUCUCUCAUACACAUGCAACUCCACCAUUAUUUGUACGGAUUAGUUACUUGUUGUCUUAGAAGAUCGUGAUCGUCAAAUUCAUUUGCAUUCUUCAAGCUCGAGUGGUGGACCCCAUCUAAGAACUCUUGCCAGCCACUCAUCACCAACAUCCAAUAAAUCACAUCCGUCCAUUUCCUCCCCAACAGCAUUAUGAUUAUUAUUACUAUUACCAUCCCCUCUCCCAACCAUCCAAACCCCAUUCUCCGCGCUCGCGAUAUUUCCGGUAGGCCCCACGUAUUCAAUUCCCGCCAUCACGGUGGACCCCGAGACCGAAAUAGACGCCCCACAGCUCUCACUCUUUACAUCAAACGGCAGAGACGGUGGCGGUGACGGAACAUUUGACGGCGGAGAGGUGGGGUUAACGUUGGUGCAUGACGGGGAGGUCGAUAUCUCUUUGUAUAACUCUCGCAUUACCUCCUCUAUCUUCUCUUCUUUGAUGAGCAGCUCAGGAGAGAGCUCGGCUUCAUCGUCGACUUCGGUCAGCAACAUGGUCAAAGUUCCGACAAGGUCGCCGGAGAUGCCGCUCUCAUCGGGGGACUUUGAGUCUUCUUUUUUCAUGUCGAGAGCAGAGCAAGAGAGACGCGUACUGAGAGUCUGAGAGUGUGAGCGUUGAUAUGAUACGAUGGAGAGGAAAAGUGUGAUUUGAGUAACGUAUAUAGAGGGAGUGAGAGCGCUGAAAGCUGACACGCUGGCACAAUGUUCUGCCACGUAGGAUGGCUGGUGCAUGACGAUGACGUGGCUAAUUUAUUUUUGUUUUGUCUUUAAUUGUGUAAGUAACUGUCACGCAUCAGAUGACGGUGUAGUAGCAGCACGGCAAUCCAGCAUUGACUUUUUGUCUGCAUUGGCCAUUGAGUUUGUGGUAAAUGGGAAUUUAACUUGUGCCGCUGAUGUGUUCAACAGCUUCUGUUAGAAAUUGGAUCGAGUUCCUAAUGCGGGGUAGCGUAGGGUUAAAAAAACACGUGUAUGUACAGCUUGACCGUAGUUUAAUAUUUCUUGGAUAGAAAGACAAGACGCCUCGUGAAACACAUCUUUAAGUACUACUGAACCGGCGGAGAUUUGUCUUGUAAUCUUUAAGUUUUGUACUUUGAAGCCGCUCCACGUGUAAAAAAAUUAUAUUUCAAAUAAUAAAGUAAUUACUUAAUUGGUGAAAUCGAUAGAAUAAUACAUCAAGCAACAACUUUAGGUUCUUUUUUUUUUUUUUUUUUUGGUUCCUUGUUGAAACACAAACACAAGCUACAACGGCAGCAUGUCAGUUUACCGAUCCAGUUAUCACUUCACAAAAACACCAUUACAAUACAUAAUCGGUGAAGCGUUUACCCGCCAAUGAAAAAUAAGAGGAAUUAAGUGAACAAGAGAUAUCUAUAUAGGAACAUGUGCACGAUAACUUAGCUUAGAGCUGUCUGAGAUAUGCCUCUCCAGCUCUUGCCAGUUUCUCUCUAUCAGCAUAUUUAGUUCUUCCAAACACUACAGAAAUGGAUCCUCUGCGAAGAUAUGAGGUACCAAUUAGCAAAUCCGAUGCGAAAUUUGAUGUUGCACCGAACCACAAAAGUAUUUUUAAGAAAAAUAUUGAUCAUUAGAUGCAGUUAAUUUCCGAAGUACCGUCUAUGGAAGAAGGUAACAUGAUACAUAUGCAUAUUUUCUAGUGUAUUAAUUACGAUUUUUGUUACUUAUUAAAACUGCUUUUACAAAUUUCUAGUCAUUUGUUUUUAACAUCUCGUGUUCCAAAAUUUAUCAUCGCUAGUUUUUUAAUUUGGCUUUGUCUCUUGACUCGCUUUCUCCGUAUUUUUCAACAUUUUUUUUCAGCAUUGUCGUUUUUAUUGUUCCAAUCAUGCUAUUGUUAUUUUCUACAUUUUUCACCACUUUAAUGUUCUUAUUACUUUUUGACAUUUUUUUUUUCUAAACCUUUCUUUUAAUUUUUGGAAAAUACUAGUUAUCCCGAGUCAAGCUCUAGGUCAAACCCCGAAAGUAAUAAACGGCGUCAUUUCAAUCCCUUUUUUUUUUCUUUUAUUCUUCAUAAAACGACGUCGUUUUAGCUUUUUUAAGGCAAAAUCAACAAUAGUCCCAAAUUGCUCUCUUUCUCUUCCUCUCACAACAGCCCCAAAUUGCUUUCUAUUUCUCUUCGUCUCACAGCCCAUUUCUCCUUCUAUUUCUCUGUUUCUCUUCCCAUUCGUUUCAUCGGCACCAUCAUGCAUACCCAACCAUCGGCACCCACCACCAAAAUAAAACAACAAAUUCUUUGCAAACGACUUUCUCAUAAACUUGACAAGUACAAACCGUUUUAAUAAGGAAUAUUGGCCUACAUGCACAAUAUAGGGCAUCUAGAGAUGUAAUUAAUACUUAGUCCAACAAAUUACACAAUAGCCAAAAUUAACAAUGGCACGUGAGCAUAUAAUUCACCAACAAAUUGCACGACAAUCUUCUAUUCACUGCUAAAAGCUAACUAGUUUCCCUAAUAUAUAUAAGAAAAACUAAUUUUGCCAAAUUCAAGUAAAAUUCAAGUUUCGAAAAUAAGCUGCUGCCAAAGAAGAUAGGACCUUAGCUAUUGGGAAAGCAACGUAGAAUCAAAACUCAACUUUCAAGGGUAGAUGUUGAAACUCAAUCUUCUGUUAGAAAAUUUUCGCAGCUACCAUAAAUGCCGAAACUCAUCCUUCAACGACAAUGCCGACACUCAUCCUUGUUCAAACUUCCCUUUUUGUCUUUUGGUGGUGCUGAUGGUUGGGCAUAUGUGAUGGAACCCUCUGUGAUGGUGGCUGCCAGGCUAAUGACUGUCAGUGUGGUGGGUGCCAAUGGUUGGGUAUGCGUGAUGGUGGCCGUGAAACGAAGCGGAAGAGAAAGACGAAGAGAAAGAGAAAGCAAUUUAGUACUGUAACAAUUUAGGACUAUAACAAUUUAAGACUGUAACCAAGAUAAAAUAACAUCGUUUUAGCUUGAAUGAAAGGACAAAAAAAAGAUUGAAACGGCGUCAUUUAUUGCUUUCGGGAUUUAACCUAGGGGCGCCCUUAACGUUCUAACACUGAUUUAAUAUUUCUCAUUUUUUUUUGUUAUACUUUUUUCAUUUUCAAUAUUUCUCAUCAUUUGUGCAUUCUUGUCACUUUUUUAUUACUUUUUCAAUAUUUCUCUUGACUUUACAAUCAUCCUCGUUCGAAGAUCAAUUCUUUUUUAAUCAUAUUUUCAAGACAUUCUCAUUACUUUUGCACCAUUAAUUUUGUAUUAUUUUCUCUAACAUAUCAUAUACUUUUUCAACCCUUUAUCAUCACAUUCUAUUUUCUCAUCACUUUUUUCACAUUCUUCAGAUUUUUUAUCAGCAUUUACCAUCACUUGUUCAACACUUUUUACGACAUUCUAUUUCCUCGUCACUUUCUUUACUUAUGGAUGACUCUCCUAACCUUUUCAAUAUUUUCAUUUCAAGGGACAUCCAAAAGCCCCUCUAGAACAAAUAAUGUACAUCACAACACCUGGAACCAGUCCUAUCAAAAUUUACAGUGAAAGAACCAGCAUUAUACAUCAGACUACUACAAAUGAGCAAUAACCCCUAUAAACCUCUCCAAAUGCAUUUUCCGUACACUUAAAUUGGCCAGCACCAGCAGCACCUUCUGCAAAUGCGUUGAUAGGUUCUGUACCAUAAAAAUGUUUUAAGAUAGCAAUAAGUGCAGCAAUUAGGUAUUGGAAUGGAAUGCUUUUAGUGGAAGACAUUGCUUCUACUACAAUAAGCAUCAAGUAAGGCAGAAAAAUCAAAAGGGACCAUUCUGGAUGUAGCCUUAAGAAAUUCAUCUCAUCUGGCCUAGCAAGUGGCACGCAAGGUUUCAGUUAAAAAUUAUCUAUCAUCUGGUGGCAAUGUAGGACUCUUGGAACACAUACUGAUAUUGUGAAGCUCCUUCAUUCUGAUUGCUGGAUUGCAUAAACCUGAAUAUAAUGAUACUUCAGUCAUCAGGGAGGAUUCAAAAGUUAAUUUUACAGAAUAAUUAAAUUCCUGUACACUCUCUUCUUAAAUUCUUAAUUAAAGAAUUUUAAAUCCAAUUCAGUCAUCAUAGAGGAUUCAGAAGGAUCAAAGAAGGUUCUAGGCUUGUGGGCUUUGUCGGUGCAUGUGUGGAGGCUGUGCCACCAGAAAUUGGGCUUGAGAAGUUUUGAUUAAAGCAAGAAAGUAACUCUUUUACUAUUCUCCGUAGCAUUGUUUACUCAUGAAGAACUUUCAAUGGAAGCAAAGUUAAUCAGCAGAAGCACUAUGAGCAUCAAUGAAUUGUUUUGGAGAUGAGAGGGAGAAAAAAUCAAGUGGCAGAGGACUUGCAAUUAAGAUGAAUAUGCAAGAUUUCAGGGAUCGUCACUGUAGCAUAAUGCAUUGUCCAGUGUGCUUCAAACUCCCUCUAAACCAUCAGCUAAAUAAGUAAUGUAAUAGAAAAUGUGAAAAUAUGCAUAAUCACCAGGCAUCAAAUUUGUUUUUAGGCCCCAUGAGUCUCAAGCUCCUCUAAUCCAUCAACUUAAAAAGAAAGAUAAAAAUAAUAAAGAAGGAACAACUUACUGAAAAAGCUAUCCUGGCUAUACGUGAUAAAAAUGCCAGACAAAAGUUUUUAAAAAGUAAACGAAAUCUCUUAUUGCUGAAGAUGUGUUUCAUUGUAUUCCAGCCCACAACAAAUGUUUGGGAAUCUUGCAGUGAACUGGUCAUCAGCAUCUGAAGAUUCGAUGUCCAGUUGUGGACCCAGCAAUUGACCACUUCAAAGUUUAGACAACAUAUGCAACAUAUUGAUGGGUCCACAUGUCCCCAACAUUCUAAGGCACUUGGAUUAUUGGAUGCUAGAUUUCAAGAGCCAGGGUUGUGGCUCCAUACAGCGGGGUUAAGAUUUUGGUGGAAUUGAAUAACAAUCAAUCAUGGAGAAGCGCUACCCCAGGAUGCAAGCAACCUUUCUAGCAUCUAGAGGAUCCCUCGCUAAAUGGGCUCCUUCCUCAUAAUCAUCAUCCUUAUUAUAAUAACAAUCAAAUUAGGAGAAAAAUUCUAAAUAGGAUCUGUGCUUGCAAGUUGGAAUGGGCAGAGGGUCUUGUCCAGAGUGUUAUAGGUAGUGUGGUUGUCGACCUUGAUAUCCUUGGGACAGCCAUCCCACCUCGUCAUAUUCCUAAGGUACGUGUAAAAUUUAUAACAUUAUCAUGACUUGUUAUGGGCUAAAAAAACCUGUAUUCGAUGGGUUUAGAUUUCCUUUUUCCUCUUGCUAAUAUCUGUAAUUAACUCUGCUCGAAAAUUUGAAAAUUGUGCAUUUCCCCUCAAGCUCAACCUUACUUCACACCAUCUCAUCAACUCAAUGUAAUACAAAAUCAUCACAAACCUACAGAACCCUAACAAUUGGUGGUCCAUCAAUCUCACGACUUUUAAGAGAGACCUUCAUAUUUCAUGUGUAAAGAAUACAUGAUCAUCAGAACUUAAACAGAAAGCAUGAUUUUCAAAUCUUAAUUUUAUAUGUACCGAAAUCACAUAUCAAGAUAGUUCUUUGAGAAAGCAAGAAAUCUAAUUACAGCAGGGCAUGUGAUAAUAAGAAACAUAAUUACAGCAGGGCAAGUGAUAAAAAUUGUGUUACCUGAGCACUUUGGAAUAUCCCACACUGCUAUAGAUGUGGAAGUACAUCUAGGAUCACAUAUUGCUCUGUUAUCUUCGUGGUGGACGUUCAUAGCAAGCAUCCAUGACCCGAUAGUUACAUCCUCAUUACUGAACAUUCUCAAACUGAAAAGCAGAACAUAUCUAUUAACAAAAGCAUAAAAGGAAGAAAGAUUACAAAAUAAAACUGAAAGAGAACAGAGAAGGCAUUAUUACAUAAACAGUAGAGCAAGUCAAAUUAACAUUUUGAAGGAGAAAAAAUCUCAAAAUGUAUGCAAUGAGAACUUUUUAUCCCAACAUCAUAACAGGGAAAAUAUAUAAAAUAAAUUUCAUCUGGACACAUGAAAUUUUAGCUUUUCGUUGGUUCUAAUGGAUAUUUUCAGUCAUUUGUCAGUACAAUCUUAAACUAAUAGGUAAAAGAAGAUAAGCAAAUGUGAAUGUAUGAAGACCAAUGAAAACUUUAUCCAAAAGCACACCUGUUAUUUCUUGCAGCAGCUAAUGAAGCCACCACAUAUGCAGACAGAACAUAUAUAGGACCAUAAGCAUGCAAGAAGUAUUCAUUUCCAAUAAGGUGCCCUGAUUUUUCAUACCUGAAAUUUUCAAAAUUAUAAAUAAACUAAUAAAAUAAUUAAAAAAAUGAAGAAAAAAAAUAUAAGAUAUCUGAAAGAUAACAGUUUUAAUAAGCAAAACCCAUAUACCACUUCAUUUUAGGGUCAGUGAUCACAUGUCCUUUCUUCAUACAACCAAUGCAAGUCAGCGGAUUGCUACGUUCCUUGGCAAGAAGAGUUGCAAGGCGAUCUGAAGAAGCUGAAAGAAAAUAAAUUUAUAAUGUCACAACACAUUUAUAAGAGUCACAGAAUGCAUGAUGCAUAUCUUCAUUAUUUCAGAUACCAAGGCGCAAAUAAAUGUCAUCAUCAGCUUUGACGUAAUAAGCUGCUUCAAAAAGCAGGAAAGCUGCUCUAAAAUAAGCCAACCUAACAAUAGCAAAAAUGAAGAAACCAAAUUACCAAAGAAGCCACCGUUUUUUUAGAUCGAAAUAACAAAGAGAACUUCACCUCUUACGUUUUAUAAGGAAACUUUAAAUAUUCUUCCUGAACAUCUAUGAGUUUAAAAUCUCGUACUUAUCAAUCUCUUUCUCAAGCUGUGCCAUCUUCUUUGCAUCUUUAGAUUUCCCAAUUACAAACCGAAAUGCUAUCCCGGUAGCUUGCUCUAAUCUAUAAAAUAUACGACAAAUUAAACCAGCAUAUUCUCCCAGUUAUUAAACCAACACCCCCCCCCCCCCCCCAAAAAAAAUUCUUUGAUAAAAUAAAUGAAGCAUUUAUACCUUAAGAGUCCAUCCGGGUCAGAAGGGAACCACGUUCUUCGAAGAGCGGCCCGGCGAUCAGCUGAAGCGAAGCCGGUUUGAAUUCCAACAAACCCGAGAAGCUUGGGGCGAUCAAGGAGAGCUCCAUUAUCGCGGAGUCGGAUAGAGAGUAGAAUGCACGGAAAGUGUCUUCGGAUCUACCGCAACGGUAGACGGGUAGGGGACUGGGGCGGCGGACGGCGUUGACGGCAAAGGUUAUGACAGCGAGGUCGAAGAAGAUGGAGAGGAGUGAAAAGAGGAGAAUGGGCAGUGAUAUUUUAGAAUUAAGUUUAUGGAGCUUUUGAUCUUUGGCUGAGUAGGAUGAGUUUGUGGUGGUGGAGGUGGGAAGAGCUGAGGAGUUGUGGCGGUGGGAGAAGAGUGGCAUUUCGGCGAAUUGUGAGUUGAGGCAGGGAAAAUGUUGGGGAAACGUGAUUGGUGAAAGGAUUUGUCGUUGUUUCUUCUAGCUUUAUACCACUGGUUUCAAAGUAGAGUUUCUUGGAAGCGACGCUCCUGAGUGAAUACUGACACCGCGAGGCUGAAGCUCCCUUCCUUAAUACCAUUUUCAGUUCUCGUUGCAUUUUUUUUAAAAGACAAUUUUUUUUUUAAAUUAAAAAAUAGAUAUCAUAUUCACUAUUCAGACAGCCUCAGAUUGAUUUUGACUUUUGAGUAUCGGAUGUUUGUCCCCUUUUUUAAUUAUUAAAGUAGUCUUUUUUUUAAUUUAAAUAUAUUAAUAUAUAUAUAUAUAUAUAUAUAUAUAUAUAUAUAUAUAUGAAUAAGAGAAAUUUAUGGUGCAACUGUAGUACCGUACCACAGUUGUAUUAGUCAUUAGAUGCCAGUGGAUUCUACUAAUCAAAGUGUAUUCAAUGAUUGGAUGUAGCUGCGGUACGGUACCACGGUUGCACUGUAGCCUGAUUCGUAUGAAUGACAUAUUUUUAAAUUUUUUGAAUAUAAAUAUUAAGUUGUUUAUUUUUAAAAAAUAAUUUUGUAGGGACAUCAAAACGAAUAAAAUAUAUAUAUGUUCUUGAUCUAGCUGGAUAUAAAACCGUCUUAUAAAGAGAAAGGACAAAAACUCUAGAAAAUAAAAGUAAGAAAGUAUUUUGCCAAAGAGAGAUGACCUGCCUCCAGUGGAGAGAAAGAAGCAAAUGGGUACAACGUUUUCGGAAGAGAGAGCGGCGUAGUAGCUUCAAGAGAGGUCUCCCUCCGUUAUUAUCCAUAGGGGUCGGCAGUAACCGAUUUGGUUCAGUUUUUCCCUUGAAUGCAGUCGAACUAAAACUGAUUGGUUCAUGAAUAAAUAAACCAAAUUGAGUUCGAUUCUAUAAUUCAGUUUCGUUUAAUAUUAUUUAGUUUAAGAAUUUUGAUAAUUUUUCUUUUUUUAUUAGUUAAAAUUUUGGACUUUUCACCUAAAUUUAAUUUUUUUUUCUUAAUUCUAUUCAAUUGUGAUCACUACAAAUUCAUGAUUUAUACAAAAAUAUUAAUGUCAAAUAAUUUUAUAAUAAAUAAAUAUUAUAUUUAUAAACAAAUAUUUUUAAAAAAAUUUUAAACAGCAAAGCAAUCGGUUCUUUGAUUUGAUUCGGUUUUGAACCAAAUCAAAUGAGAACCAAUUGAUUCUCCGAUUAAGUUCGAUUUUAAAUUGAAUCAAAUGAGAACCAAUCGGUUCUUGAGUUCCUGAACUAUUUAAUUUAUUUAUUUUUCUUAGAAAUGAAUUGAACAAAAUUGAGUAAUUUCAGUUUAGUUUGAUUCGAAAAAAAUCGAACUGAAUGCCUGCCCCCAAUUACCCUUAUCCACAACAUAAGCUUCAUCUGAAAAACUUGAAUAUAAGAGACAUACACCUAUUUAAAAAUAAAUAAAUAAAAGAAAACUAGAUUUAAUACACAUAAAAGUCAUUAUAAAAAAAAUAAUGUUAAAAUUGAAACUGCCUCGAGGCAUUCUCCGAUAUAGGGUAUCAUAAAUGUUAUUUUUUUGGCUUAUAUCCAAUCUAAACCCCAGAUUAGGAAAUAUGCGAGUAUUGUUACUUGCAUCUCAGCAAUUGCAUGUGCAUUAAUUUGUCGUUUUUAAACAUUUAUGAUGUGUUUACUUCUUGGAAUAAAGAUUGUGAAUCAAAACUAUGUUUACUUGACAAAAUUGAAUUUGAGAAUAUGAAUAAAUUGUGUGGGCUCCACACACUUUGGGAAUAAAGAAAUUUCAUUCCCAUGGAGGGGUUGGGAAUGAAAAUGUGAGAUUGGGAAUGAAACAUAAAUUUACUUUUCUAUCCUUCUAAUUUUUUUAUAUUUCUUAAAUUACCUUUGUUCAAAUCACAAAUAAUUUUAUUAUUUUAAAUGUCAUUAAUAAUAAUAAUAAUAAUUAUUAUUAUUAUUAAAUUUUAUUAACUUUAUUAUUUUAGUUUUUAUUAAUUAUUUUUAUUUUUAUUAAUAUUAUCAUUAUUAACAAUAAAAAUAAUGAUAAAAAUAAUAAUUAAUAAAAAUAAUUAAUUUAUCAUUAUUAACAAUAUUAUCAUUAUUAUUGUUGUUGUUAUUAUUAUUAUUAUUAUUAUUAUUAUUAUUAUUAUAUUAAUAGUAAUUAAUAAUAACUAAAAUAAUAAAGUUAAUAAAAUACAAUACUAAUAAUGUUAAUAAUGAUAAUAUUAAUAAAAAUAAUAUUAACAUCAAUUAAUAAUAACUAAAAUAAUAAAGUUAAUAAAAUAUAAUAAUAAUAAAUAUUAAUAAUGAUAAUAUUAAUAAAAAUAAAAAUAACAAUAAUUAAUAAUAACUAAAAUAAUAAAGUUAAUAAAAUUUAAUAAUUAAUUAUUGUUAAUAUUAUUUUUAACAAUAAUAACAACAACAACAACAACAACAACAACAACAACAACAACAACAACAACAACAACAACAAUAAUGAUAAUAUUGUUAAUAAUGAUAAAUUAAUUAUUUUUAUUAAUUAUUAAUACUAUGAGUAUUUUGGUAAAUUGAUUCUCAUUCUCAUUCUUCAUUCCCAUUUAUUUUGUCAAGUAAACAUUGAAAUUUCAUUUCCAUUCCAGCACAUUCUUAUUCCCAACCCAUUCUCAUUCUACCACAUUCUCAUUCUCAUGAAGUAAACGCACCAUUAAUGUAUUUGUUUGGGUAGUUUAACUUGUGUCACUCGAGAUCUCAUAAAGUGCAAAAAUAUGAGGUACCGUACCAUUUAGUAAUUUCGAUGCGGAAUUUGAUGUUGCCCCGAACCACAAAAGUAAUUUUAAGAAAAUAGUGAUUAUUAGAUGCAGUUAAUUUCCGAGGGACCGUCCAUGGAAGAAGGUAACAUGAUACAUAUGCAUAUUUCCUAAUGUAUUACUUACGAUAUUUAUUACUUAUUAAAACUGCUUUUAAUAAUUUCUAGUCAUUUGUUUUUAACAUCUCGUGUUCCAAAAUUUAUCGCCAGUUUUUUUUUAAUUUGUCUUUGUCUCUUGACUCUCUUUCUCCGUAUUUUUCAACAUUUUCUUUUCAGCGUUGUCGUUUUUAUUGUUCCAAUCAUGCUAUUCUUAUUUUCAAUAUUUUUCACCGAUUUAAUGUUCUUAUUACCUUUCGACAUUUUUUUCUAAACCUUUAUUUCAAUUUUUCGGCGCACUUUAAUAACAUAAAAGUAAGUAAUCAAUAAUCGUAAAUUAGGAAUUCAUCUUCCAAAUGUAUAUGCAUGUUAUAUUGGGUAUUAGCCAAAUAUAUCUGCAUUUAGAAAAAUUCUUUGAUAUGGAUUCUUUUCACAUAUUUCAUAUUUAUUAUCGAUAGAACUAUGGACUACGCAAUAAAUGUAUGAAUUCAGAUUUCUAAUAGAGUUUAUAUUGUCAUAUACAUCUAGAGGCAAAUGUACGACGUUCUAAAAAUCUGAGUUCCAUCGCACAAAAAUUCGUACAGACGUUCGCAGGAGAAAAGGACUCCACAUGUAAUUAAUAUCUAUAGCGAUGCAUGCAUUGUUUCCUAUGGUUAAAUUUUAUGCUAUGAUAUCCACCGUGAGAAGAGAAUUUUGUUCCGAUAAACUUAAAGAAGAGAACGAGGAAAAGGGAAAGAAAACAUCAGAAGCUCAAAGCUGCAACGUAAUCAAUAGAAGCUGAAUAUGAGCAUUUCUACAUAAGCACAUACAGUACAUCUCAGACAGCAAGCAAACAGUAUUAAUCCUAGUCGCUGCUAUCAUUUUAUUCAAUAUUUUAAUGCAAGAGCCAUGUCACUUUAUUGGUGAUAUUAAUUAUUAUUGAUUAUAAUUUAUGUGACAUGGUUUUUCAAGGACGGUUUAGAAUUAUAUUGGCAUCACCAGGUUUUUCUCCUUGAGAGAAGGCGGCACUGGGAACGAGUUGAAGGUCCAAU